rnacentral:lncRNA from 1 species
UGUGAUUUUUCUUUCUCUACUCCAUUUUGCAUUCUACUUCAACCACAACUCUACUAUUAGGUUUUGGACGUGCCCCUAUUUAUUCUUUAUAUAUAGUUAGCUUUUCAUUAUGAUUUAGAAGAAGUUAGAAACAUUGUAAACACAAAUCUUUGUAUUAUUUUUUCAUAUUAUAAUAAAAUUUCCAUUCUCUACAAAUUAUUUUGUUCUUGUGAUUAAUUACUUCAUAUUAUGGCUACAAUCUCUUAUUUUCCCCAACAGUUUGGUAUUGGAUUAAUCCGGUAUCAUCUUCGUUUGAUAACAAUAAGUCUAUCUCCAUGAGCGUCGAUGAUGGUUUAUCUCCAAAGUGUCUCGACUCGCUACUUAAGACAUUCUUGAAAAUUAAGGAUAUGGGACACGUGGAGUAUUCACAUGUUGAUUUAUAUGAACACGGGAGGAUAUGAAACUUGUAUAUGAAGUUUUUCGCUUAGCCAUAUAGGGUUUUUGGUUCAAAGCUUGUCUACCAUAUCGCUUUGGUUAAUAUUGUUAGAGUUGGUGACUCAAAUUGGAAAGGAAAUCUUGAAGAUGCGUGAUUGAUUUGGAGAAUCAAAUAGUAUUUGAAAAAUAAAGAAACAAAGUUUUUGUCUCGUUUUUUUUUUCUUUUUCACGUUUAACCUAGAAUUCUUACCUUUUUAUGACUCUUUUAGUGCUACACUCUUGUGGUAUAAAUAUGAGUCUCAUCUUUUAGUAUUGUUGAAACAUCAUUACUGUCCAGUUGUAAUUCUCUUCAUAUUAAUAAAAUUCGUCGUUCCUAUGCUUAAUUCAUCUUUUACUUUAAUCUUGUUCGUGGUAUUUUGCAAUCUUGUAUUAUACUUCAAAUUGGUGUCCAUUAAAUCUCAAUUCUUGCGUUUCAUUUCCACCCGGUCCCAACAAGUGAUAUCAGAGCGAGGUUGUUGGUGGAUUUCUGGCCUGAAACUAAUCAAAAAUUGGUCUGAAAAUUACCAGAAAAUCAGAAAAUGAAUCUGUCCAGUUUUUUUCGAUUUUCUACUGGAUCUAUUUGUGCAUUUUUCGAUAAAACUACUUACCUUUUGGAGAAACGAACACCACCAGUGGACUCAGCAAGCAGAGACGGUCCAGAAAGGGUCACAGGUCGUCGGCGCGUUUCUGGUUAGUCGCCGGCGGUGGGAACUUUGACGAGAGAAUGGUGGGGCGUGCGGUGAUUUUCGACGAUGGUGUCUUCAGGCAGUUUUCUCCGAACGACGAGACAGACCUUGUGGUGGUGUCCAAUUUCAGUUUUGGGCAAAAUUGUGGUUCUGGACUGUUUUGCCCCUUGUACGUUCCGAAGUUUUCAGUUUUGGAUGUUGCAAGUUGCAGGCUCUUUGUGAUUUGGUUGAGAUUUUUCAAGAACGAAUUCGUUGAAGUAUGAAAUUCUGCUAUUGGAUCACAAUACAAGAUUUUCGCUGUGGUAAGUAAAGGUGAGAGCUGUGUUGACGCAGAUGGAUCUUGAUGAUGCUUUGCUGGGUUUUGAUAGGAUGUCAGCAAACUUGUCUAUGGAGGAGAAACAACGAAAGGAUCGAAAGGUUUUAGCGCAAGUCCAACUUCAUUUAUCCAACAAUUUGCUGCAAGAUGUUUUGAAGGAGAAGACAGCGGCUGCUUUGUGGCUCAAGCUGGAGCAGUUGUGCAUGACAAAGAGUUUGACGAGCAAACUGACUCUAAAGCAAAGAUUGUAUUCUCAUCGUAUGGUGGAAGGAGGGUCACUAUAGGACCACCUUGCUGUGUUCAAGGAGAUCGUUGCAGAUUUGGAGACGUUGGUGGUAAAAUAUGAUGAAGAGGAUCUAGCCUUUGUCCUAUUGUGUUCGCUACCCAAUUCUUUUUCGUCUUUUCGUGAUACUAUAUUGUAUCAUCGUGACACAUUGUCCAUUGAGGAGGUAUACGACGCCCUAUUCUCAAAAGAGAAGAUGGAGUUAUUGGUUGGAGAUCCUACAUCUAGGAGUGGGAAUGCUCUGGUUACUCAUGUUGAUCGACGGAAGGGUAGAUCGAAGGUGAGGUACAACAAUGUGUAAUGUUAUUACUGCAAGAGGAAAGGACACAUCAAGAAAGAUUGCGACAAGUUGCAGGGUAAAGGUGAUUUACAUGUAAAUCAUGUGGGACAAUCAGGUAAUUCAAACGAGACUAAUAUUGCUGAAAAUUUUUGUGAUGAUGGAGAUGUGAUGUUGGCUGUAUCUAACAGGGAAUCUAAACCUGAGGAGUGGAUUUUGGAUUCUGCUUGUUCGUAUCAUAUAUGUCCCAAUAGGGCUUUGUUUCAAACAUAUGAGACGGUGAAGCAAGGUGGGGUUGUCAUGGAAAACAACCAAUCUUGCUAGGUUGCAGGAAUCGGUCGGGUCAGAUUGAGGCUACAGGAUGGAACAGUGAGGACACUUGAUCAGGUUCGUCAUGUUCCAGACUUGACAAAGAAUCUCAUAUCACUGAGUACCUGGGAUGAAAAAAGGUACAAAUUUUCUGGUGGAGGUAGAGUCUUGAAGGUUUGAAGGGGUGUCUGGGUUGUACUGGAGGGACGGAGGAAAUCCCAGUGUACAUCUUGCAGGGGAGCACAGAACCAGUUCAGAGACAUUUGGACAAGUUCAGUACCGUGGUGGACAUUCAAUUUGGUACAGUACCUCUCGGGUUUGGCUCUGAGUUAGUUAAGAACUUUGCUCAAGGGAAUAUUGGUGAUUCUGCUUUGCCACCAAUUUUAGCGGGUACACUGUGUUCUUGUAAUGCCAAUGGACUCAUGGAGCGUAGGUAUAGUUUUGGAGAUGUCUAUAGUGCUUUAGAAAUCAUUGAAGGUGACAAUAUUGGCAAGGGACCUUCUGAUUGUGCAUUUGGUGUGGUUUCUGCUACAGGGUGUGCUUCGACCCUGUCCAGUGAUUGUUAAUUCCAAGAGGAAUUUUGAGAACCCAAGUUUUGGGUUCGGGUGUCGCUUGUGGAAGCUGGGCGGGGUAAUGUGUUAUCGUGGAGAGUUUUGGUUACUGUGUUGAAGAGAUUGGUUAUUCUGAUGCAAAUGGAUUAUUUCUCAAGGUGGAGAAAUUUUGGAGUUUCGUUCGUUGCACCGAAAUUUGAGUCAAGGUGGAGAUUGUUAGAGUUGGUGAUUCAAAUUGGAAAGGAAAUCUUGAAGAUGCGUGAUGGAUUUGGAGAAUCAAAUAGUAUCCGAAAAAUAAGGAAACAAAGUCCUUGUCUCGUUUUUUUCCCGUUGAACCUAUAAUUCUUACCUUUUUAGGACUCUUUUAGAGCUAGACUCUUGUGGUAUAAAUAUGAGCCUCCUCUUUCAGUAUUGUUGAAGCAUCAUUGCUGUCCAAUUGUAAUUCUCUCCAUAUUAAUAAAAUUCAUCGUUCCUCUGCUUAAUUCAUCUUUUACUUUAAUCUUGUUCGUGGUAUUUUGCGAUCCUGUAUUAUACUUCAAAUUGGUGUCCAUUAAAUCUCAAUUCUUGCGUUUCGUUUCCACCCGGUCCCAACAAAUAUUUGCAACAACUUCACUACGUGAAGGUUGAAGUCCAAAAGCACCUUCGUCUAUGCAUAAAGUUUGUGAUGUCUAUAUGGUAGAUUGUAAAACUAUCACUCAUUUUGGAAAUUGUAGAGAAUUGUUGGAAUAAUUUCCAAAAAAAUGUCGUUUAGACAUUGGUAGUUUAAAUCAAGGAAAUACUUCAAGAAGCGUUGGAUCAAGAUAGGACAAGAACAAGAGAUGACCAAACGGACCAAAACUUGCACUAGUUUGCAACAUAAAUUGGCGCAAGUACGCCCAAGGCUAGUGCACCUACGCUAGUUGAGUAAUUGAAGCACAGGUACUCUGCCUUGUUGAUGCAAGUGACCUGUUGGCUAGUGCACCCGCGCUGCCAAGCGACAACAAUGGUGUCUUUUCGUUCCUAACUGAUGUUUGAUAGUUAGAAUUCAAUUUUUUUUCAGUUUGUAUUGAUGUAGUUCAAACUCUAAUAAUUAUCUUGAAGUGUUGUAACUCUUGGGAAGAUGUGUAAAAUAAUUUUAAUUCGUUUUUACUCUACCAUUUUCUACACUUUCUUGCAUCCAAAAUACCAACUUUAGUGCAUUCUUAUCUUCUUGAGUAUUGUUUGUAUUUAUCAUACUGCAGAUAUAAAGUGGAAAUUUUGAGUGGACUUUCCAUUGUUCGUGUUGUCUUCGUGAGAAAUCCCAAACAACACUAAAGGGCUUCAUUAUAUCCUAUAGACGUAUUUGCAUUCCAUGUGCAUCAUAGAUUGGUGGAAACAAAUAUCAUCUUAAGGAAAGAGAUAUUUGUUAUAUGCCUUGAAGCCGGUAUUGUUUUAAGUUCGAGUUUUUGCGAUAUUCCAACAUCUAGUUUCGUCUAAUUGUCAUCUCUAAACUGAUCUCACCUACACCUUCGAACCUCGUUUCAGUAAUCUACCUAUAUAUAUUCAUCUAAUUCAAUCCGUCAAUUUGUUAAAAUUUGGAUGAUCGAAAAGGUCUUACAGAUGUUUUAAAUUGACCAGCUUCCCUAGUUCUGCUGGAAUGGUCCCGUUUAACCUGUUACUCCCCAAGCCCCUGAAAGUUGAAUAGAUUUUCAAAAUUACAAUUAGAAUUUCGGGAAAAUAUAUCCACUAUCAAACAAAACAUUCAUGGUGUUUGCUUGUUUAUGUAGGAGUGACCAUAUGUAGAGAGAGAGAUCUAUGGGUCAGUUGAUAUGUAGAGGGGGAGAUAGCUAGAUAGGAACUCACAAAUACGUAGUAAUGUUUCCCAGGAAUUUCGGUAUGGGUCCAAAUAGGCGGUUCACCAAAAGACUUCUAUAUCACACGUACUUUUUCGAUAUAACAAAGGAUGUAGACAUUACAUCAUUGCCAAAACUCAAUUAAAAGCUACAGGCAAGGCUCACAUGGACUCCAAUUUGGUUGCUUCCCAUUCCAUGGGUAUUGUACCAUUAAGGUAGUUGCCACUAAGAUCUCUGUAGCCAAUAGAUUCAGAGUGAGAUCAAUGUGGCCAAUAAAUUGUCUCAACCUUUCGAAGCAAAAAGCUGAGUAGAUUUAAUAAAUUGAAAAUAAACUUGGAACAUCUUGCUACAUUGUCUUGAGGUAUGGUAACUUUGCCUGUGAGGGCGGAAGGACACCUGCCAAAUACUGUCCAUUUAGAAAUCUGUUUGUAAAGAAAAGCGACAAUCUUUAGCAUACUCUGAAUUGAAAAGUUUUCAUCUAAAUUUUACAAGUGCGACAAUUAAAAUUUCUUGAGAAGUGAAAGAAACAAAGCCAAAAAAAAAAAAAUAAUAAUAAAAUAAAUAAAUAAAUCAUUCCGAAGGGAUUUUGAAGGAAACAAUACAAUAUAUUAAGCCCAUGUUUGGUGGGGGAUUAUUUUUAGCAAAUUUUGAUAAAAGUUGAUGAAAUGUAUAGUUGAAAAGUUUUGGGUCUAUAAAAUAUGAGGCUAAAAUUAAUUGUUGAUGUUUAUUUAGAUUAAGAUCUAUAUUUUAGUCCUAGGAAAUAGGGGCUAAAUGUAUAGAGUGUUUCAAGUAAAACAACUUGUUAGAGUGGCUUCUAGAACACACUACAAACGUUAUACGAUUUCAUUUUCAACUCUAACUUAACAAUCAAGAAUGUAACUUGAAAACAUGGUGAAAUAAAGUUGUAUGCUUGACUGAAUGGAAAAAAAGAACUAUAUUUAUUUUUUAUUUUUUUAUGGUUAUAAUACUAACACAGCUUAUUGCAGAAACUUCUAUACAUAUGUUAAGUGCAAAUCGUGGUGAAAGAUGAUGAAGAUAGAGAGUCUAGCAAUAUAAAAUGAAUAAUGCUAUUUAGCACCACUGGUGUUAUAAUACCAGUUUUGGUGACACAAAGUGUCAUUAAAUGAGUCACUACCUUUCAUUUAGCCCAUUGCAUGGCGACAGUUAUACUGGUCUUCGAUGACAUUAUUCAUAUGAAAUAAGUCAUAAAGGUCAAGUUUGAUUACUAGGCACCAUAAGUUCUAUUGAGGUCUAAGCAUGAAAAAAGUACAAUAAUUCCCACUUAAAAUACCAUUUUAAGAAUCGACAAACAGAUUUCCAACCAUUAUAUGGUAUUCCAUGCCUCAAAAUCAAAUACUGAAAACCCCAUAUUUAGCUGCUUGAAGGAUCAAUAGAAGCAGAAUAUAUUUUCUGUGAUUCCUGAUUCCUUGCAACGUAAUAGCACAAAUGGCUAUUUCGAAAUCAGUUUCAAACUAAUGAUAAAGAUGAUAAGUUUUCAGCAAGAAAACCUACAUUAAUUUUACGUGGCACACACCACCAGGGAAAUUACAAUGGCAGAUGAUGGAAUUGCUGUACCAUUGAAUAUCUUCUCGUUUUGGUGUAUUCCAGUUUGAGUUAUUAUCACAAGGAUUCAGGUUGAAGUCCCAGUCCUUUUUGCCCAACUGAUCAGCUAUUUCACGAAGAGCAUUCUCUGCAAAAAUCAGAACUCUAUUCUAAAAUAUAAAUGUGAUCGGAUUCAUGUUGAUCAAAGUGAACUUUUAAGGAGUUUAAUGGAAGGCUAAAAAGUGUAGUCCCUAAUGAGCUAAACACGUGAAUGGAAAAGAAAUAAAUGGUUUACAUGUGCAAUGACUAGCGAUCGUGGCAUAACACAUUGGAAAAAAUAGAGAUAUACAAAACUACUACAGCCAAUUAUCUUUGAUCAUCUAGUUGUUUUGCCUCUUAUAUUAGAUGUAAUAAAAUAAAUAGACCAGAGUGGUUCGUGGUCUCAAAAUGAAAGUUAUUAUUAUCAUUUUUACUUUAAAAUAGCACAGAAGGUGUUUUAAGGCCACUAUGUUUGCAUCUUCGUAAUCAAAUUAGUCUUGUGGGUAGUCCGUGUUUGUAUUAAAUCUAUUCCCAUUUUCAGGUAUUUCCAUUUUUUGCCAAUUUCUUGGGUAAAAUCUCCCACCUAUCUUAAAGAUAAAGAAAGCUUUCUUGGAUACUUCUUGCACUAAAAAUGAAGGACGAUCCAAUUUAUUAACUAUGAAGCACUAAUAUUUCUUCGAAGCAUAAAACAACUAAAAAAUUAGUAAAAAUGAAUGAAAACCGCUUCAGGCUACUUGUUUUCAAUAAUCUCUGGUACAUAACUGAUAAAUUUACUAAAGAAGAAGUAUUUCAUCAUCAUCUACUAACUUUAUCCUUAUUGCAUAUCUAACUAUAUAAUUGUUGUGCUUGUUAAUAUAUUCAAAAUGUGUUGGAUAAUUGCCUCAGAAGUCAAAAGUUGGAGUACUUCUAUUGCAAAUAAUAAAAGGUAAUAAUUGUAUGGAAGACUUCUAGUUAAAGUUGAGAGAAAAAUCCUCGCAGAAUUUGAUUUCCAAUUUUACAUCCGCUUUUGAAGUCUUGCAUAUAAAGGAGUCCUUGUUUGAGUUGAAAUUGAACUCUUUUACUUAAUUAUCGAUCCUACAAAUAGUGGAUGUAUUUAUUAUUUCAUGGGUGUGGCCUGAGAGUUGAUCCGAGAGAUAAAUAUUGUGAGCCUAAUAUCUUGAGAGUUUUCAUAUAAAGAGUAGAAAAGUGGGUAUGGUAAAGCUCAAGAUUAUUUUUCUUUGUAAUACUUAAGAAUUGGGUUGGUGAGUAAAAUUUUAUAUGGUUGUAACAAUUUUCAUAUAGUGAAAGGCUUUGAAGGUCUGCUAGUGAUACAAAUAGAUUAGUAAAUGACAUAUCUAUUCAAUUAAAUGGAUAUCGACAUUUUACCUAGAUAUUUAUUGUGGUGCGGCAAAAAAAUAUCAUGUCAAUUUUAUCAAUGCUAUGCCCGCAAUAACAUGACCCUGAUCAUUUAUUUUACUUUCUUUCAUCAAAAGACAUUUAUUUCGGGACAUCAUAAAUAUUUUCUAUUUCCUCCCUGGCAAAAGAUAAACAUAAGUGCAUUAACUUUCUAGGUCCUUAAUGGAAACUUGGGAAUUAGACCUUCAACAUGGGCCACCUAAUCUGAAUAUUCAAAUAAAUAUUUCUUUCAUUAUCAUGUCUAUGCACCUCACAGUACAAUUGACUCCUCCGUAUUCCAUUUCAUCAGCAUUAAUCACUUGUUUAAUGCAUGUUCAUCUUCUUUUUCUGAACGAGUGAACCUAAAUCAGAUAAAGAUAACUGCAUGAGCACAGGGCUAACCUGUAGAAUUUUCUAUCAGGCUGUCUUUUAGUAACCUGAAAAUGAAAUCAGAGACUUAGCAAAGACUUGCUAGGUUAGUCCAUCGCGAAGUCUUUUUCAUCUGUAUUUACAUUAAGAUAAAAAGAGAAUUUUAUAAAUGCAUGUUCAAAUAUUACAAAGCUAGACUAUUAUGAAUCAAUUAUUGUUUCUUGAAUAAAUAUUUCUUUUCCAAUUGUAGAGAUAUUUACAAUAUCAACACUAUUUUCCUAGAUUUCGUUGCCUUAUUAGAGUUUUGAUCAAAACAUUGACCAACUAGAUAAUAUUGUGCAUGUCCAUUGACUCAAUUUGAAGUGUUUUGAUUGUAAGCUCUCUCCCAGUCGCCAAUAAAAUCCAUACUUUCUUAAAUUAUGUUUAUUGGCGCCAAUAUUUUUUUUGCAAGCGAUUGCGGCACAGCACGUUGGAAAAAGUAGAGAUAAACCAAAACUACUAUAGCCAAUUAUCUUUGAUCAUCUAGUUGUUUCGCCUCUUAUAUUAGAUGUAAUAAAAUAAAUAGACCCGAGUGGUUCGCGGUCUCAGAAUGGAAGUGUGUGUGUGUGUGUUUUUUUCCUUCACUUUAAAAUAGCACAGAAGGUAUUUUAUGGCCACUAUGUUUGCAUCCUCAUAAUCUAAGUGAUCUCGUGGGUAGUCUGUAUUGGCAUUAAAUCUAUUCCCAUGUUCUGGUGUUUCCAGUUUUUGCCAAUUUCUUGGGUAAAAUCUCCCAACUAUCUUAAAGAUAAAGAAAGUUUUCUUGGAUGCUUCUUGCACGAAAAAUGGACAGUCCAAUUUAUUAAACUAUGAAGCACUAAUAUUUCUUCAAAGCAUAAAACAACUAAAAAAUUAGUAAAAAUGAAUGAAAACCUGCUUUGGGCUUCUUGUUUUCAGUAAUCUCCGAUACAUAACUGAUAAAUCUACUAAAGUAGCAUAUCAUCAAAUUUCUUCCUCUGCUAACCUUAUCCUUAUUGAAUAUCUAAUUAUAUAAUUGUUGUAUUUGUUAAUGUAUUCAAAAUAAAAUUUCCACAGUGAACAUCUCACUACGUCAAUGACAUGGUUUGCUAGUGAUACAAAUAAAUUUUCAUGUCAAUUUUAACAAUUUAUAGGCCUCAAAUCCCUAUUAGAAUUUCUUUCAGUUGUGCUGGAGCAUCUUGAGUUUAAACCUAUUAGGUUCCCAAACACCUGAGGUCAAGUUCCUCUCCUCUGCAAGAUAUUUAUAGACAAAAUGAAGUAUUCUAUUUAAUAUUUUAUUUUACUUUUAACAAGAAAGAACGGUAAAACUGUUUUAGAACGUGCGCAUAAGCUAUAAUUAGGACUAAUAAAGAUUUGUUAAGUAAGCCCGACGUCAAGAGGUAUUUUAAAUUCAACCUUAGUAAUUUGAUGCUCUACAUCAAUGUCUGAAUGAUAUAAUGUAACCAUAUGUUAAGAAUUAUGUCAACCAUUAUAUUACUGUAGCAUGAUUCAUAGGGAAAUGGGUUAGGAGAAUCUUUUCUCGCUAGCAAUUGUCGUAUCUUUAUAGUUGACAACAUAUUACUCGGUAUUUCUCAAUGUACAUGCCCUUGAAUAAAUGGACUGAAAGUACUAAGAAAGAGAAAUAAAUUCUAAUUCAUAAUUCAUUGAAGGUUGUCUGAGAAGGAAACUCGAGCAGAUGUAGAGGAUAAGCCAGUUUCUGGCGCAUCAGACAAAUGAAUGAGGAUUGAGUUUUACUUGAAUUAAGUUUCAAGUAUUAGAACUUCUCUCUGACUAAUUGAAGAUUCACUAACGAGUUGAGCUGACUCCCUCCGCCCCAUUAACUAGUUGAGUUGGCUACGGAUGAACUGUAGGAGCGAGUCGAUCAAUCACAUGAGUCGGAUCGCGAGACUAGAUGAUUUGGAUUUCCAUCUUAAAAUGUCAACCUUGUUAGAAGGAAUAAUCCAAACCCUUAUAGGUUGGUUUAUAUAUCUUUAUUCGAUGUGUGAUUUUAUCACUUAACAUGCCGAGUAAGAUGGUCGAACCAAUCUUGAAAUUCAUGUGCUCAUUUUUUUUAGUCUUAAUAGGAUCGAAUCGCUCAUUUGAGCUUAAUAGACUCUAAUAUCAUGUAAAGAUUUGAAAUUCCAUCUUAAAAGGUCAACAUUGUUAAUAGAGGUAGUUCAAACUCUUAUAAAUUGUAUUAUAUUCUUAUCUUUAUUCUAUGUGAAAUUUUAUCCCUUAACAUCUAAGCUUGCAAAAUAGCAAAUUGCUUAGUAAAUGAUGGACCCGAUCAAUUAAAUAGAUAUCAACAUCUUACCUUUGUUUAUGGGCAUUGAGUUGGAAUGCUUUGAACUUUAGCUUGAGAAUAGACUACUCAAUUGAAGUGUUGUAAUCAGUAUUAAUAUUCCGUCGACUUUGAAUACAAUUUACAAUUUAUAACAUUCACAGAAGGUAAUAUGUAACCUUUUUUAUAAUUUUACGUAAAGAAGAAAGUUUUGUCGAUAAAAUAAAUUUAUUUCCUCCAAAUCUUCAUUACCAGUUUGAAAAAUAUAUAUAUACUAGUCUUACGCCCCUGCAAUGCAUGGGCUUUGUAAUUUUGAAGAUAAUGUUAGUGUAUCGAAUGUUAAGGGUUAACGGGAAAAUGUAUAUUAUAAAAUUUCCAUAUACACGUUCAUAGAAAAUACUAAAUAGAGUUCACAAAGAACAUAAUUAUCAGUCUAUAAGUAAAUUUGGGGUCCAUACAAUUAGAUAGAAAUCAGGAUUCUAGUGAAACUAACAUUCAUUUUUAUUUCAGUUACUUGAAACAGCUAACAUGUAAUCAAAUCAAUGUACCAUAAUUUUGUUGUGAAAUCAAAAGUCAUUGCCUCGUGUUCAUGCUCAGGUCAUCACUCGCCUAAUCACUUUGACAAUUACUUUUGUGGUGGGACAUGGUAAAUGGUGGUGCCAGUAACUAAGCUUACCUGUUACAAAGGAAAUUGUAGAAAACCAUUUUAGGACCAAUGUAUUACAAAAGAAGCUAGUAAAACAAAAGAACUCUUACGAAAAAGCAACACAUGAAACAUAAAAAAAAACAAACGUUUUGAGAGGAAUGCUAAAGACAACAUUUAUACAAUUCAAAUUCUACUGAAAAAUUAAAACGAGCUCAACAUGUGGAAGCUUUUGACAAUCCAACAGUUGCAAUUAUAUAAUUUCUUACAACCUUGUACAUAGAUCAGAAGGGGCCAUAAUUACAUAGUUGAAUUAGUUGAAGUUUCAAAAAUAAAGAACCAUAAAACAUAGAAUGCUCUUUGAUGUGAACAAAUUUCAGAGGAGGCAAUCCCGAAGUCAAAUGCUUAAUGGAACCAAAACAAUAGAUGAAUACAUCCUGAAAAUUAUAAUACGUGAAUCUAAUAAACGAUUAUUUUCAGCCAUGAGAUAUUAAGCUUUAUUUUCAUACUUGCUUAUUAAUUUGAGCUUAUAAGUUGCGACAUGUAGCAUUCCAAUAGUCCUAACUUCCUUAAUAUCGAUAUGUAAAUAGAAAUAUGCCAUUGAGACAAUUAACACAUAACAAUAAUGUCAUAAGGAUUUGUUCACUAUCCCCAGUCCUGAUCAAUUAUCAAUUGUUUGCGGCAAAACAUUUGAGCAAUGAGAAACCUGUCCAUGACAUUCUAAAUUAUUAGAAUAAAAACAUGGUUGCAGGCUUUACCUCUUCAUUAGCUUGACUUUCCGUCACCGAGGUUCAUGAAAAAGGAAAUUGUUAAUUGAACAAAGAGAAAGGAACCUAUUACACAGAGUUGCACAGGCUCAUUUCAUAUAAUAAGGGUUAAACCUGUGAAUACACGCCUCUCGACAACUUUCACGAUACUCUCGAUGGAUGUUUUGUCUUAAAGCCUAUAGAAAAUUAUUAUUAAGAGAUAAUGAGAAAUGGAAAGAAGAAUUGGAAGAAAUUCAAACCUUUCCAUUAUAUCGUGUAUCUAAUUUACCUGGAACUCAGAUAUCUUGUUUUUGAACUUCUUCAAAACCCUACAUUAAAAUAUAAUCACUUCCUUCACAUGUUCUCACAUAAUGCAUGUCUUCAAAUUAAGUCCUGAGAGAUAUUUAAAUCAAGAAAAGAGACUGACAACCCCAUUAAGUGACUUCCUUGACCACCUUACUGACAAAAUUGAACCAAAUUUCUCAAAAAUUCUAAAGAAAACCGAUAAAGGAAAGGCCAAAAGGGCAAAAAAAAGAAAAAAAAAAAAAGAAAAAAAAAUGCAACCUUAACACAAAAAAAAUUUAAAAAAUAAUCGAAAGAAUAGCCAUUGGGUGAAUAUACAGAUCUCCAUAAAAAAGAAAAAAAGGGUAUUAGAAAAAUUCUCUUUCAUUGAAAUUCCAAUAGCAUUGCAACAUAAGAUUUUUACAAAAGGAAAUUUAAAAGUCAUACCUGAUUGUCUUUCGAAGAUAUAAGAAAAUGAUUAUAUCAGAUUCUAAGUCUGAAAAGGAUAAUUACAUUAAAAAAAUUUCCAUCCAAAAAAAGGAAAAGAGGGGAGAAAAUUGAGUUUUGAAGGGAAAAUGAGAGAGGAAAAAAAAAUCUAUUUCUAAAUAAUGCAGCAGCUUGUAAGCAAAUGAGUGAGUUUCAUAUUCAUCAUAAACAGUUAUAGAAUGUUUAUUCUCUUUGGCUAAGAAUUACUGGCUAGAACUAUGCAGCGAAUGCAUGGAUUUGAGAUACCAUAGAACCAAAUCCUUAGACGAAAAUUGAUUCAAAAAUCUAUCCUUUGUAUGUGGCGUAAUGAAAUAGCAAUUACCUCAUUGACAGAUGAAUUUGGACAAUUGAUGAAAAUUCUGGCAGAAAAAUAGAAAUCCAAUCUCCUACAUAAUAUGAAAAAACUUGAAAAUUUCUAAAUAAUUUCCCAUUCUUUCUUAACUUCUUAUCUUUUCUUCAUAAUCAGACGGUUUGGUGUCAAAAUCCUUCCCAUUUCUAACACAAUGCAAACCCAUUUAAAAUAAAAAAAAUAAAAAAUAAAAAAUAAACCAUCAAUUUUCACUUUUGGCUUUUGGCACAAAUGAUUGCAUAUGUAUUUAAAGAUAAAAUAAGGUCAAAAAAAAAAAAAUCAAUCAACACUAAAUUAAUCAACAAAAUAACUGAAAUUUAAUUAAUUUAUUACCAAAAAAACAUUAAUGGCAAUUUGAUUCAAUUCUUUCCUUCUGAAUUUGCUACUUUUGCUUCUCGAUAGAGUCAUCAGUCCUUUGUUGUUAGGGAUCACAGAGGAGAAUGUGAAUAGUUUAAUCACUUUCAUCGCUUUCUCCUCUCCCUAUUCAUAAUUACUAACUAAAAAAUGAAAUAAUAUUACCUAUUUACUAGUACAAUAUUCUUGUUAUGGUUUAUUUGUACAAGUUGAGACGAACGCCGAACAAGUUAAACAACCAACAAAAAGCAAUAAAAUGAAAUAGAGAAAUCAAAUAAAAUACAAACAGAUAACAAAAAGCGAGAAUGAGUUAUUUGAAAACAAAAAAGAAAAAAAAGGCAAAUAUGAAAUCGACAUACCUUAUUUUGAUACUCUUCAAUUUGUACGUGAAUCUUUUCUUUCCUUGCAAAGAACUUCGAACAUAGAUGAAAAAGAACGAAAACUUCAGAGUAGAUAUGAAGAUAAUUCAACAAAAAAUACACAGAAAAAUAAUAAAGGAAGAUACUCGAGGUCCUCGAAGUCCAAUUUUUGUCGAAAUUUUCUGGUAUUUUGGGAACGGUUUGUUAAAUUUUCUGAAAAGAGAAAACAAAAAAUUUGAAGAUUGACAACAAAAAAUAGAAACUAACAUACCUGAAGUAAUCAAACUCGAAUUUCUUUCAAGAUUCUAUGGUAUUUUGGAAAGCUCUCAUUUCCCUAGUGAUCUUAUUGCCUGCAUCAGACAAUAAGAUAUAUCAUAACACAGAGAAAGCACUUUAUUAAUUAAACACCAUGUAUGGUCUUUUUCAGUUCUUUCGUUAGGUCAAAGAAUACCUCUGUCUAUUCACUCUUUAUCCCCUUUUGGCCCAAUAAAUGCAUUCCUUCAAUUUCUCUAAUAACAUCAACUCUCUUAAAAUGAACGUGUUGUAAAAUAAUAGUACUUAAUAACUGAUAAACAUCACGAAUUAACUCCAUUCUAUGUUACAAAAUUAAUAUUUCUUACACCUUGUAACUAAUUGCUUUGACAAAAGAAUUUAAUAUACAUUUAAUUAUAAGAGAAAACUAUCUAAUACAUACAUUAUGUGCAGUUAUAGAGGUUAUAAGAUAGAUCUAAAUUUCGAUCCAUGUAUUCUAAUGAAACAUUAAGUAAAAGCUUUUGUCCUACUUUAACCAUUUUAGUUACAACUCUUAGUAUUAGCUACAAAAAUGAUUCUACCUAAAUAUGAAAACCUUGCCACUUCAACCAUGCAACAUCAUCUUUGGCUAAGUUUUAAAGAACGGCCAUGUAAAAGAAUGUUAAUGAAUCCAAAUGUACCUAAAUAUGAGAACUUAGCCACAGUAUACCAAACACCAUGUACCAUAAUAUCACUAAAUUAAAAUUAAACCCGAAAUGAAAUAAAAUAAGAAAACAAGCAUAAAUGGCAAAGAAAGCAAAUAAUGACCAUUUGUGUAGAAUUGAGCAACAAAUUCUACUGUCGUAAGGAAAUCAUCUACACUCGAAAAAAUAGUAUUAUUCAUCUACAUAUAUAUAGAUAUCUUCAACAAAACCAGUGAAAAAUAUCCUAGGGAAUGCAAAAGUUAUUAACGAAUAUUUUAGGCGUUGGGAUUAUCCUAAGAUCCAUGAAUUCCACAUGUAUGAGGAGUACAAAUAACAAAUUAUUUUUUAGGAAGAAAAACGAAGGGAAGAAAGCUGACAACAACUUAUCAAGUAAGGAAAUAUCAAAAGGAACGUUUGGUUUUUCUCCGUAUGCUAAUGGCUUAAUGCCCAUUAUUUGCAUCACCGUAUGCCUUGGGUUUCUUGCUAGGAUAAUGCCAUUUGUACAAUGACUUUUGACAACAUUGUUGACGAUGUUGUAUAUGUCAUAAAAGUGUUAGUAGGAAAUAUAAAUUGUUUUUUAAAUUAUCCAAUGACAACGUGACCCAUUGCAUGUUGUCAACAAUAUUGUAAAAAUGAUUGUACACCAAGCAUGAUUGCGCUUGCUAUCGCUUGAUUGCAGAUGAUGCAAAUGACAAUGAGAAAGUUUUUCCAAUUUAUCCCCUUCACUUGAAUUUUCUGGGGAAGCAAAUAUUAUUAGCUAAUACAUGCAUGUACAAUAAUUAAACAUGCAAUAAUUAUACCAUUGCAGUCACACCAGCUCAAUCCCAGAGUAGUACUAAAAGAAAGUAACAAAAGAAACACCAAAGUCUCGAUACUCUUAGUAAGUCAAAUUGUAGCAUGCACGUCAAAUGUUAUUAAAAACAAAGUUUAAUGUAUACAGGUCCAAAAUAUGAAGUAAAAUGAGGCCAAAUGAACUUCUGGGUAGCUACUUACUAACUGUACAUGCAAAACCAAAGAAGCUUCUCCCUACCCACCAAAAGAAUACAAAAAGAACGAAAAACGAAAAAGAAAGAAAUUACCAUUUAUUUAGAAGUAGACUUGGCAGAGACACAGAGUUUCAUUAUCAACAUGCCAGCCACUUGAACAGAGUAACACACAUCAACUUUUAAGUUCUAUCGUGUUAUGAGAGAGCAAAUGUCAUGACAAUGAGAUUCAGGAUUAAUAAAAAUUGCAAUCUCAUCCUAAUGAGAUCAAUGAAUAAAAUCCAUCCAUUUAAUAAUUUCUGACAUUGUUUAGCUAUCAAUAAGAUAUUCUUAUGUUAAAAAUUUCACUUCCAUUAUUGAAUUUUUAUUUCUUAUAAUCACAGCAGCACAAAUUUCGGUGAUAUUUGUCCUAAAUUCUUUACAUGAAUCAACAAUGCCGAAAUCUUGUAAAGCUAGCCUCUGUGACCUGAUGUAUAGAUUUUCUAGACCACUUUACCUCCUAACGUUGACUAUUCUGGUGAGACUCAUGCCAAUUGUAAAAAUGAGGUAUUAAGACUUGAGUUUAACAAGGAUGUGAUUCUGUCAAUCUUUUCUCUUUUCUCUUUUCUUUUUUUUUUCUUUUUACAAUUUCAAGUUUUGAUAUCAUACUUGAUUUUGGUACACUAUUUUCAGCACGAGGAAAUGUCCACCAUGCUUGUAGUGUUUUAUUGACAAAGCUUUCUUCUGCAUAUGUAAAAACUUUGACAUAACACUAUCCAUUUGUGAGGAUUAUAAUAUUUGAAAUUGACUCCACCAAGCAAUAUUUCCUGAAAUCAAAGCAAUAAGUCGUGUGUUAAUAAUUUGUUCAUAUAAGAAUUGAAGAGUUUUUGAACGGAUGCAUUUCGCAAUUAAAGAAGCUUUAAGCAUCUUCAUAUUCUGGUAAGAAUAUUUACUACUCGGGUAACAAUCAAUAACUAUCUUCUUUGCACGACUUGCAUGAUAGUUGCAACUGACAUUUUCAAUAGGUAACAAGCAGUAGAUUCAUAUAUAAUAUUGGCACUCUGAACUCAAUAUUCGAUUUGAAUGAUUGACUCAGUGCAUGUAUUUAGGGCUGUGCUGUGAUGAGAAAUUGUAAUAUCUUGAAUGAUCGACAAUGUGUUUUUUCUACAUCAGUAUGUUCAAUAUAUCUAUGUCGCAUACUCCAAGUGACCAAUUGGAGUCUUCAUUGUUUAGACACGGAAGUUGAUUUCUGGUAUUGAACAAAGAAUAGCUUUUCCUUUGUCAGAUAACUGUUAUAGUGAUAUUUGAACUACUAAAAUAACUUCAUCAAGUGCAGAAUGGUCACAUUUAAUCUGGUGAAGAAGUUCAACAACUUUCUUUUCCCUGGAGAUCGGAUUUUCACUGAUGGACUUUUGCUCAUUUAAGAACUUAAUUAGGUUGUGCCAGGUAAAGUGAAGUUGGCAUUAAAUUUAAGUACAGGAAAUGCUUGAUUGGAGGAAGCGAUAUGGAAGCAUCGAAGGAAAACAAGUCCAAGAAAUUUAAGUCUCAUAAAUGCAACUUUUUCUUACAUGGGAGCAAAGAACAUAACAUUGGAGGUUAUAUGAAAAAAUGGAAUAUGCAUUUUUAAUAUGGGGUUCUGAAUGCUACGAAGUGUUGCUGACAAUUCAGUACCAGUGGAUAACUAAUAGAUAAGGACUAAGUGCAUGAUUGAGCCCCAUUUUUGGCUAAUAAUGGAUUUUGAAAUAGUAGAUUGAUGGAGAAUGUGUAGUUAAAAAAUAAAGAAAAGUUUUGAGUUGUGUAAUAUUAUUUUAUUGAAAAAUACGUGGUUGAAAAAAAAAAGAGCAAAAAAUAUAUUUUAAAAAUAGUGGAAAUCAAACAAGGACUAAAAUGAUUUCGAUUAAAGAAAAUUGAUAAUUUUUCGAGAUUUCACUUCAAAGAUAAUACCUUAAAGGUUUGUUGUCCUUGAAUGAAAGAAAAAAUAUAUUAAAAAUAUAUUCACGUAGUUUUCCUUAUUAUAUAACUUAAAUGACAUGAAUAUAGAGGAAAACUUUAGACUAAAAGAAGAAAACUGUGAAAGAAGUGUGUUUGUCCAUGUGGUAAAAAAUGGAAGAUUGCUACACUAAAUACAAUUAAAAUUUUUUUAGAAAUAACUGAAACUAUAGCCAUUUGCUUAUGUUACCUUGCAUCAAGACUCGAUUAAGGAUGUGAAUAUAAUGUGGAAUCUUGAGCUCUUUGAAUUUAUAAUUGUUGCUUCAACCUUUAUAUUUGACACUCCCUAUGGCAUUAAGUAAUUUGAAGUUAUCCUAAAAAAUAUAGAGGAGAAUUGUUGAAAGCAUAUAUUGAUAUGGCACAUAACAUAAACACCAAUGCAAGUAGUGAAGGCAAACUAAAAAUAUAUAACUUUCACACCCUCUUGUUUGCUACCUUGAUCAAAAUUUGGGUGACAUCCUCAUAGAAGGUGACAUACUCUUUGGUCAAAUUUUGAACAGGAAAUCCAAUUUUUUCAUCCUCUUUUAUCUGGAACAGUUCGAGCAUAGCGGUUUAACCAUAAAAUAUACACGAAAACUCAAACACUAUCAACAGAAAAACUACUGACUUACAGAAUUAGUUCAAAUAUUGAAAAACACAUAAAAAGUAGUCACAUUAAUCCAUUUUUUUUAUGUCUUGAUUUAUAUAGGAUCUCCAUUGUAAUUCUUACAGGCCUAAAUGUAUCCAACAUCACUCUUCAUGGUGUACGGCACCAUGUCAUCGAUCAACUGAUGCUCAUGUCUUGGGGAAACAUAUAUGUUUUAGAAAACAAUGUGAAUGGGCACGUUAAUGUUCUAUACAUCAAAGAUAUAAAAGCAACCUUAGUGAAUGUUCUUCAGAUUAUUCCUUCCACUUCUCUUCAUGUACCUCCUAAAAUAUAUCUGUGAACCUGAAAUAGUGAAAUAUUAAUGUAAAUGUUAGUAUACAGACAUACUUCAUUUUAUUAAUAUUAUAACAAUUGACCAAGGUUUUCCUAAAGAAAUCACAGCCAUCAUACUUCUUAAGAGUUGUACUCUUUGUGCUCAAGUAAAGACGCCGUUUUUUGCAAUGUCAUUGCCAUUGAUGAUUCUGCAAAUGCUUGAAUAGACUGAAAAAUUUUCACAAAAAUUCCAGAUGAUGAGGCAAAAGAAUAUAAAAGUGCCAUUAGAAAAAUUUCAAUAUACAAGCGAGUUGUGUAAAGACAAACUUGAUGAACAUUAUACAUGGCCAGGGCAACACCAGAUCCUUUAAAGUCAUAGACAUCCAGUACUUCCAUGGGUCUCUCCCCAUUUUGUGGCUCUGGGACUGAACAGAGAAUGAGCAGAAGAAACAUGUAAAGAAUGGUUUGUCCAAAGAUAUGCUAAAUUUUCUUCCAAUAACUACAAAAAAGUGAACUGAACAAAUACCAUUCUAAGGUUUUCAGAUCCUUUUAUGAUUAAAUCAAUGGAAAAAUAUUGAUUGCCAAAGGCAUUUCUGCGAAUACAAAUAGGUUUCUUCCAGCCUACAGAAAAAAGGAUCAAAGUAAAUAAUUGGUGGUUUCAUAUAUUGUAAAUAUAUACCAAGGGGAAGAAGCAGGAGUACAAGGAACAAUUUUGGGAAUGUUGUUGAACAAGAUUGGCAAACUUAACUUCUAUAAGAACUUUCAAAUAAAAAUACAAAAAUUAAGAAAUGACCAAUGGUGGGAGAAUAAACCUUGAGGACAAAAUUCAGGUUUAAACAUGGGAGCCCAUGGUAGUACAGUAUUCAUCAAAAUCUGUCAAUCACAAACGUCAAAUUAAGCGCUCAUGUGUAUCAAUUGUAGCAAGUGAAAAGCAAUGAUAACCUUUUUCGGAAUUUGCAUUUGGGUAUUUAAUAAAUUAUCCGACUUGAAACAUUUUGUUCUCCUUCUUAAAGUUAAAUAUAAUCAAAGAGCCAAAUAUGGGAAGAACAAAUUUUAAGUCUUUUCAGUUCAGUUUCUUACAAAAAAUGAGGAAAAAAACACAGAUUGAACAAAAAAUCUCAUAUUCAAUAUGACGGCUGCAGAAAUAAAAAACUUAUACACAACACGAAGAAAUUGAACAAAAAAUACAAAAAAAAAAUAAUAAUAAUAAUAAUAACAACAACAUGAAAAUGAUAGACUUUAGGUAUUUUGGGUUCGACCUCUCAGAAGAAGGAAAAGGGGGAACAAAAAAAUGCAAAUUGGACAAGAAAUCUCAUAUUCAACACCACAGCUACAUAAAUUGAAAAAUAUAUACACAACAUCCUAAACCUAACCACCCCUUGAAACAUGACUUUACGUAUUUGGGUUUGAACUCUUCAAAGAUCAAACUAAAAAUAAAAAAUAAAAAAAAUUGAAAACUAAGCAUAUAUUGAACAAUACAACUCGACAAAUUAGAAGCAAUAUACAUAAGAGAAAGAAAUCGUAGCAGUGAAGAUUAUACUUACAGGUAUAUGUCUCAGUUGCUUCAGGUUUUCCUGAAUUUCUUGCUACAAUGGUGCCUAUCGCGAGAGAGAGAGAGAGAGAGAGAGAGAGAGAGAGAGAGAGAGAGAGGGAGAGAGAGAGAGAGAAAAAAUAGAGAGAGAGAGAGAGAGAGAGAGAACAAUUAGGGUUAAGAGGCGGAGAAAAUGGGUAACCAAAUGCCGAGUCUUGCAUUUUGUCCUUUCUUUUCCCAAACGGCGUUGUCUAGGCCCAACUAAGUUAAUGAUCAGUAAAAAUCGGAUUGGUGCGUGCACGGAGGACAUGACGGAGAUUUACUACAUGUUGCGUCUUUUUUUUUUUCACUUAUAUUUUUGUGUUCAUUUUUAAACUCAUUAUGGGAUAUUAAACGAAAUCGAAAUAUUACAUUCUUAAUAUCAUGUUGAAGUACUCGCGACAUAGUAUUGCACGUCGUUAACGGUGCGUGAAACAGCUAAUCGUAGCAAAUGUUACUGGACGUCAAAAUAGGCAUUUUCAAACUAUUUUUCGAAAUUUUCGAUAAUAAGCUAACUCUAAAAAUUCAUCGACCAUUAUACGAUAGUCGAAUCGAUAAAUGUUUUACAUUCUCUCGAAACUCAUUUCGAAAAAUAUAUCAUAGACACAUCGAAUGAUGUAAGUUAAUAUCAAAAAUAGUUAAACGGACAUUAAACGUAUGUGUUAAAAAAUGCGUAUAAAUCAUUUUUCUUCAAGAAAUCAAUUAUUUUAUUACUAUUUAUUAUUUUUUCGCAACAAUUCUCUCAAUAAAUCAUUUUGUUCAAGAAAAAUUAUGUGGUAUGACGUAAAUUUUUUUUUUCAUGCACGGAGUGAAUAUUUUUUUUUUACAUUUUAUUUACAAUAAGUUUUUUUAUUAAUAUAAUUUUAAAAAUUUAAAUAUAUAGGAUAUGAUUGAUAGUUAAUAACGUGAGAAUUAAAAGAAAGAGCAUGGUGUAUUAGAUUCAAAGUAAAGGAGAAAUAUUGCAGUAGACGUGAUAUUGCACUCAAAUGGCAUGUGAGAAAAUUUCUACAGUGUUUUUGAAUAAAAAUUUUUCUGUUGCCAAACCAGUUCCCAAACUGGUUAAGUUAUUUAAAAGUAAAAGAAGAGAUUACACUAUCUAAAAGAUAAAAAAUUACUUAUAAGUAAAAAAAUCACUUGAAGUUAUUUAAAAUAAAAAAAACUUAUAAUUGUAAAAGCUACUGAUAGGUAAAAAAAAUAUUAAUCCCUCAUUCUCUUAUAAUUGCAAAAGCUACUUAUAAAAAAAAUGUGAACUUAAAAUUUUUUAAGUAUAAAUAUUUAUAUAUAUUUAUUUUUUAAAAUUAAAUAUUAAUAAAAAGAUUAAACUAUUUAGAAUGUAAAAAGUUACUUAUAAGUAAACAAAUCACUUCAAGUUAUUUAAAAGUAAUAAAAAAAUUAUAAUUGUAAAGGUUACGUAUAGGUAAAAAAUAUUAAUUUCAACAUUUCUAAGUAAAUAUUUAGAUAUAUUUAAUUUUUUUAAUUAAAUAUUAAUAAAAAAUGUACUACAAAUAAAAGUAAAAAAAAAAAAAAAAAAGUGCAUAUUGGUGCUUGAACUCCCCGCACGCAUUGCUAAAUUUUUUUUUUUAAACUUAUGUUUUUGUGUUCAUUUUUAGGCUCAUUACGGGAUAUCAAACGAAGUCAAAAUAUUAUAUUCUUAAUAUCAUUUUGAAGUACUCGCGGCAUAGUAUUGUACGUCGUUAACGGUGCGUGAAACGGCUAAUCGUAGCAAAUGUUACGGGACGUCAAAAUAAACAUUUUCAAACUAUAUUUCAAAAUUUUCGAUAAUAAACUAACUUUAAAAAUUCAUUGACGAUUGGACGAUAGUCAAAUCGAUAAAUGUUUUACAUUCUCUUGAAAUUCAUUUCAAAAACUAUAUCAUAGAUACAUCAAAUGAUCUAAAUGAAUAUCGAAAAUAGUUAAACGGACAUUAAACGUAUGUGUUAAAAUAUGUGUAUAAGUCGUUUUUCUUAAAAAAAAAAAAAAAAAUUAUUUUAUUACUAUUUAUUAUUUUUUGGCUACAAUUUUCUCAAUACAUCAUUUUGCUCAAGAAAAAUUAUGUGGUAUGACGUAAAUUUUUUUCUCCAUGCACGGAGUGAAUAUGUUUUUUUAUAUUUUAUUUACAAUAAUUUUGUUGAUUAAUAUAAUUUUAAAAAUUUAAAUAUAUAAGAUAUGGUUGAUAGUUAAUAGCGUGAGAAUUAGGAGAAAGAGCAUGGUGUGUCAAAUUCAAAGUAAUGGAGAAAUAUUGCAGUGGACAAUGGCGUUUGACAAAAUUCCUACUAUAUAUUUGAAUAGAAUUUUUUCUGACAAAAUUCCUAUAGUAUUUUUUAAUAGAAUUUUUCCUGUUGCCAAACUAGUUCUCAAACCGAUUAAGUGUGAAAACGAGUGAACAAAAAAUGAACAGUAAACCCUCAUUCUUUCUUUUAUGGUAGUGUAUGUAUACACACACAUGCAUGCAUGUGUCCAAGGGUGUACCGAAUGUAAUUAUGGUUGAUAAUUGUUGGGCUGUAAUGCCAUCACAUCUGUAAGUGGGGCGAUGAUAGUAUCAUGGGCUUGGCCCAUUUUGGGUAUUUGAUCCAUUACAUGGUAUUUUAAAUGUGGAGGCCCAAUACCCAUACCCAAUAUAUGGAAAAUCACAUUUUGGAAGAGCAAUUUUAGUUGCCAAUUAAUGCUGAAGUCACUAAUUGCCCUCGACCAUUGAUCAUCAUCCAAAAUCAAUGGUGAUGGUGUAAAGUAUAAAUGGGGUCUUACGUUGUUGCCCUAAUUCACUUGUACUUUGAUAUUUUUUGGUGUUUUCUGGAAUUCUCACUAAGUUAGGUUUGUUUCUUUUGUCUUCUUUCGAUCAUCUUUAACCUCUAUUUGGAAAGUUUCUUGUGGUUUUCUGAGUGAAAUUUGAGUUUCUGUGGUUGAUAGUGAGAGAAAAGUGUAGUUUCAAGUUCAAUGCCUUCUGGUCCAUAAAAGAAGUGUCUUCUAAUCCACUAACAGUUUAGGUUUGAGGUUUCUGGUUUGUAAACAAGGGUAUCCGAGAUACCUUAGGUUGUGUCUUGAGUUGUAAUCUUUGAUAUAAAAAUUUUGUAUAGUUUGGUUCGAUUUUUGUUCUAAUAGUAACUCGAUCGAUUGGUAAGUUAGAUUGAAUAAUAUUAGAUAAUCCCUCCUUAUCUUAAAAGAGAGAAUAUAAGGCUUACAGUUCAUUUUUGUCCCAUAGAUUUUCACAUGAAACUGGUUUGAAAUUAGGCUGACAACAGUAAAUUAUACCAUUCAAUGGCACUGUAGCAUUUUUUUCACACGUCAUUUCACUACAAUUAUUAAAAAAAGGAAUUGAGGGCAAAUAUAGAAAAAAAUUAUUAUAAAUUUUUUAAAUUAAAUUAAAAAUAAAAAUUAUUUAAUUUAAAUUUAACAAAUAACGUUCUAUCAUAAAAGAAUGGAUAAAUAUUAUGAUCAAUGAAAUAAAUAUUAUUUCAGUUCAAUUCCUAGUAUAAAAAUAUGGCUUGUAUCUGCCCAAUGUAAAUCAUCAAUGAAAUAUGAAUUCCUUCUUCAAGUUCCUUUCUCUCUCUUUCUCUUUCUUUGGUUAAUUUUCUCCGGUUAAUCUUGCAAUUCAACACGAAUUGUAUUUUUGUAACUUAUUGAAUUUAUUUCUUGCUCGACUUUCUUUUUUCAGUUUCCGUUUCCGUUUAAUCUUAAAGGGUUAGGGUUGUAGAGUUGUCCUCUUUUUCUUUCUGUCUGUUAGGGAUAUUAUACGGAUUUGUGUUUGUGAAAAUGGCCUUCGAUUUGGUGUUUUUAGUUGAUCGUAUGCUCAUUUUUUAGGGAUUUGAAUGUCAGUUUAUUUGUGAGUGUUGUAUAUCUGUAUUUGUACCUUUCGAGAAUUUGAUGGUGCCUCUCCCGGCUGGCUUUCUUGGAUUUAUAUAUUUUCAUAUUUUGUCAAUUUAUUUUUCCCCUGUACUCUACCAGCAAAAAAUUGAUAAAAGAUGUGAUAAAUUAAGUGAAAGGAGUAAUAGAUAUCUACAGGGAUAUUGAAGUUUGAAUGCAGAUCAGCAGUUGUUAAUUUUAUUGCUACAUUUCUCAGGGGUGGGGAAAAGUUGGAAAAUGUAGCUGAUUUCUAGAGAAAUCAAGAUAUAGAAAUUGUUGCCAAGUUCCCCCCUGCUUAUUUCCCCCAAUUGUGGGGUUGGGGAUGUGAGCGCAGAAAAGCUUGCCCCCUGAAUCUGUACUCGUAAUCAAUAGAGUUAUAAACCAUACUUUACCAUAUCCAGCUAAUUUUGUCGGUUAUAUUAUCAAUUUCUUUGAAACAACCCGAACUUUAUAUUUGAUUUUAUUAUUGUAAAUAUUAUCAUAGCUUCAUUGUCGAAAUACGAACUUCUUGUCUACGUCUUACAAUUGGCCAUAUAAAUCCCCACCCCCAACCUUUAUGAACAUAGUUUUUUCGUGCAAAAUUUGUAGUAUCACACGUCAGUUGUAAUCAGUGUAUGCUUUUAUUUGACUCGUUAGACCUUCACUUUGCUAGGCUUGCAGCGUAUACAAUAACAUUAACCAUCCAAGCAAGUUGACAGUUGGAGCGGACUUCCACUGUUUCAAGGAUAAAAUUGAGCCAAAAUGGGAAGAUCCUGAUUGUGCCAAUGGAGGAAAGUGAACUGUGACAGUGAUGUAUGAACGACUUACAAAUAAUAUCUUCUAAUGAGGAUUUGACUUGGAAACAUAAUCUUCCAAUAAUGUGUCAAUUGUCAGCAUGUGACACAAUAACGUAACACAUGGUUAAUUAAAUUCGUUCGGUGUUAAACUACAAGAUAUGUACAUAUUCCUUUUUGAAAGUACGUCUUUAAAUAAAUAUUUUUUUGUUAAUAAUCACGGUCUCUCGAAUACGGCAUGCGCCUUUGCAACUAGCAUGUUUCUGUUGAAUAGUGAUGGCCACUGUUCAUGCAUAGUGGAGAUUAAUUGGUAGAAAGUUUUCCAUUCACAUUUAAUGCAGAGGUUAUCAUGCAUGAGUUUCUUCUCAAAUUUCAAAUGCAAUUGGGAAUGACAUUAAAGUCACUGAAUGGAUAUGCGUGAAUAGCAUUUUGCAGCGAGUUAAGAGGGACAAAAUUGAAAGAUUAUCUCUACGUUGCAAAUAAAAUACAGAGAAUGUAUUUUUGCAUUGCUCUUCUUCUCUUGUUGAUAUAGUGAAAAAUUUGUGUGAGUUUGUGGACGUAGGCAUGAUUUUCGAACCACGUAAAUUAUUGUGUCAUACUUGCAUUUAUUUUUGUUAUCUUCAUUUGUUCUCAUUUUAAAUUAUUUUGCAUCCCACUGAUCUUGACAAAGUUAGUAGCUUUACACUUUCCACCACUAUAAUAGAAUCCUCUUUGCAAAUUUUUUAAUCAAGUUGUUCGGCUAACUUUUGAGUACUAGAAAUGAUUGUACUAAUACGUGAGAUUAUCGCUUAAAGUCUAAAAGCACAUUUUCUCAGUUCCAUACCCGUUGGAAGGUGCAAGACAAGUACAAGAUACAUAAUUAACAACUUUAUUAUAGGCAUGAAGCAAAACACAAUGGAGGAAAAAAAAAGGUUGAACCCCAACCUUGAGAGUCUCCCCCACCCGCCCCGACCCUAGAGUUUUGUGAGGGAGAUAAAUCGCGGGUUGUGCCCCAACAGGCCAGGGAACAAGAACUGUCUGUACACUGCACCUACAAGGAGUUCAAUUUCAUGUCUCAGGAAUCGAACCCCCUCACUGUGGCUACCAACAAGGCGUAAGAUAACCUCACUCCUGUCCUUUGCAUCACUAGGCUAUGCCCUCGGGGGAGGGGGGGCAAAAAAAAAAACACAAUGGAGAAUUCACACAUAAUAUUGAUUGAGUAAGGUCUAUGUCUAAUUCUUUUAGGACAUGUUUGCGCCCAAUAUUGGACAAGCCAGUACAAUGAAUAAGAUUUUAUUUAUUUUUUCUUAAUAUUUUACAGUAUUUUCUUGUUCACCCAAUACCGUGAGGUAUUUACUCUGAGGAUAAUGCAAUAGGACUUCUUCAUGAAUCCCUUCACUCCAACUAUAACAACCAAAUGCAAACUCAUUUUCCCGCAUAGGCCUCUUCACUACAACUGUUAUGUUGAAGCCCCUACUUUUCCGCUUUAGCGUUGAAGUGUAAUGUGGAUGGAGAUAUUUCUAUGGAGUAACCAGGAUUUUUUUUAAUCGUAACUGAGUAGAAGACUUAUUACCAACAUUUGUAACAGUUCGAGCGACAAAGUAUGAAGACUUACUACCAACAUUUGUAACAGUUCGAGUGACAAUCGUGGAUACUUUAAGCUUAGGCGCUUAGCAAUUGCUAGCCAUGGAUAGUUGAGAUUACUUGGCGAAGGAAUAACAUUGGGACACUUGAAAGAUGGAACGAGCAAAUUACAGUUAUUAGGACAGAGGAAGAGAUGAUAGUCAGUAUAAGAAGCAUUAUAAACAAGUCCUGAAUCAACUGCCUUUGAAGGUUGAAUGUGGCCCACGUUAUUAUGUAAAGGAAUAAAAUCUCAUAUCGCAUAAAAAUAAAAAUUUAGACUAACUUAUAAGAAUUUGGGAUAAAGUGUCUUUUUUUUUCUUUUCUAAAUAAAAUUUUUGUUUAAUGGCCCUUGAAUAUUUUGAGUACUCUUAAAGAAAUUUUUUCUUGCUACUUAGGUAACAGGCAUCUCUGCUGUAAGCCGGCCCGUAGUCGAAGCGAAAAUAUUCCAAACGAACAGUAUUUAUUGAAAUCUAAUUCGGGUAACAAGUAGGUGAUUUUCUUCUCCUUGACCAUAUCAACAUUUCAUAGUUGAUGGUUUUUUGUGUUGUGAAUCGAUGGUGAUAUACGCUGAUGUGUUGUUUUGGAUGAAACUUGUGUUAUUUUUUGCUAGGAUUUUAUUUCAUUUCUCUUGAAUGUUUAAGAAAAUGUAGGAAGACAUUUUAAAGGCCGAAAAGAAAGAACACCACUUUAUGGAAUAAAUAAAAGAGAUUCUGCUGGGAGAAUGAUUGAAUUUUUAUAAUUGCAUUCUUUGCAUCAUGACGCCUAAAUAAAUAUAUAUGUAAUUGCUCGCCUCACAAAGCAAAUUGGAACGGGCAGAUAUCUGGACAGUUUAUGGUUCACUAGAUAAAUUGAUAGCUUGUGACACUACGCGACUGCCGGCAAGCACAAAUGGCAAGAUAAACGCACGAUGUGAUCUGGAUAGGAAGCGAGUGAUCCAAGUAUGAGUUUUGCUCGAAUUCUCGUCCAGACAUUUUUGUUGAAGGCGAACCGGUGGCAAGAAGCUGAAACAUUAAAAAUUCUAAUUUUUUUUCUCCAUUUAUGUGGGCUAGUAAUGAAAUCCACUGUGUUCAUAUCUGUAGAAGCAUAUCACUUUUUUAUGACUUAGUCCAAAAGUUCCCAUGAAGAAAUUUACAAGCCAAUUUCCUUCUUACUACUGCUACUACUCUUACUACGUGCCUUUGUAAUACAUUUUAAUUAUUUAAUUAGUAAUAAUUGAAGAAAUGAAUUAAAAUAAAAUCACUUAAGAAGUUUUAAAAUAUAAAAAAAAUGAUUAUUUAAAGUUAAAACGAAAAUGUCACAACAACCAUAUAGACACGUCAUUCUACAAUUAUUUAAGGAAAACAUUACAUAAAACAAGUGAAUACAAUAUUUUCAUUAAUUUAAUGUAAUUUAUGCAAUUGUAAAGUAAAUGACUAAAUAAUUUUUCAGGUUAAUAAAUUGUUGAGAAUAAAAAAAAAUGAAGAAAAUAGUUAAAUACUGUUUAUUUGGUGUAGUGGAUUGGAGAUGAAUUUUAUUUUGGUACAAGAUUUUGGGCAAAAUAGUGCAAAACUCACCUUAAAUUUUGAUUUAGGGUUGGAGAUGGCCUAAGAACUUCAACAAUUAGAACAAAAAUAGAGGACCUCACGAAGAAAAAUAAGCACUUUAUACCUCGUAUGCAUUGAUUGUGGUGUUCAAUAUAGAUAGUUGGUGAUUGACCAGAAUAAGAUAAAAUGACAAUUGGUGAUUGAAAAUGAUAUAUUUAAUAUUUCUAAGAAAGUUGUGAGAUAAUUUAAUGAGAACUUGAACAUGUUUUUAAAUAGAAAGGUUUGAGAAUUCAUUUAUUCUUUUUUGAAAGUUAAAGACUGACCAAGGAACUUCAACACUUAGAACAAUAGUAGCAUACCCCACAAAGAAAAAUAAGUACUUUAUACCUCAUAUACGUUAACUUUGGUGUUCAGCAUGAACAAUUGGUGAUUGAACAAAAUAACAUAAAAUGACAAUUGACGAUUGAACAGAAUAACAAAAAAUGAGAAUUGGUAUUUGGAAAUCAAACAUAUUUCUAAGAGAGUUGUGGAAUAACUUAACGAAAACUUGAAUUUAUAUUGAAGGUCAAGAGUUCAUUUAUUCUUUUUUGAAAGUUAAAGACACACUAAGACCUUCAAAAAUUAGUGAAAAACAAUAAUAACGGACCCAAGAAGAAAAACUAGCACUGUAUACUUCGUAUACAUUGAUUUUGGUGUUCGGAACAUGGCCACAUAGCCCUGUUUUUCCAGGGUUUGUGGCCUUGUUUGAGAAGAUUUAUCCUUUGAAAGGCUCUGUUUGAGAAGAUUUAUUCUUUGAGCGCAAAUAGUUUGAAAAGGGGUCGAAUCUUCAACUUGUUCCUUUAUGUUUAGUAAUUUUUUACUAGUUCAAAUAUAAAAACAACACAAACAAAUUGGUUUGUCAGUCCGUUAUACAAAAGUUAGCCCUUGUUUGGUAGAGAUUAAAAUCGAAUUUUUAGUAAAUUUUGAUAAAAGUUGAUGAAAUAUGUAGUUGAAAAAUUGUAGGUUACAUGAAAUAUGCGGUUAAAUUUGGCUAUACAUAGAUAAAUUAAUAGAACUAGUGCAUAAUUAGUACGUAGGGUACUGAAUAGCCUUGUACAACCUGUAAAACACGAUUUCAUGUAGCGUGUUCACUAAUCAUCUGAAUUCUUAUAUUCUAUUACAAUGUUAAGUCCCUAUUUGAUUUAGCUAAAAAUCAGAUUGAUAAAAAUUGAUUAAAAUUGUGAGUAUCAUAAAAUGUGUGAUUAAAAUUAAUUAUUGAUUUCAACUUAAAUUUUUGUCAACUUUUUUAAUUAAAUGUGAAAGCGUAUGUGGCAUAUGAUCAUAAAAAGAAUAAAAAAGUACCUAAGUUAAAUACAGCCGGAGUAGUUUUGGGCAAAGAAAGAGAACAUUAAGUGCAUGUUUAUACAUAGAACUCGACAAAUUUUUUCUUUAAAUCUUGUCUGUUAUUUUACAUUUAACCUUACUAAACAAGCCAUAAAAAUAUGCACUUUUUCGUAUAUUUAUUUAGGGUAUAUACUGUAUGACACGAAGAUAUAUUUUCUGACAACUUUCAAGAGUACGACAAUUUGUUGAGAGAAUAAUUCUGCAAUCCUAUGUACCUGUUAAUAUCGUCACAGAGAUAUAAGGUUAGGUGGAUAGAGAUCUCUGGAAGAGGUAAACGAAGAGCCAAUUUCUAGUGCAUCAGAAGGAUUAGAAAGGGUCUGAGUUUUACUUGAACUAGGUUUCAAGUCUUCAAACUUCUCUCUGAGUGAUUGAAGCUUCAAUUCAUCUUCGUAGAUGCUUGGAUCUAUCUUAAAUUCCUGAACAUUUAUAUAUCCUUCAAGCAUGCCACAGACCAUGGACAUUGGAGGCCUUAGGGAUGGAGAUGGAUUGGUGCACAAUAGAGCAACUUUGAUCGUUCGUUUUGACUCGUCCAUAUUGAAAUUUGAACCCAACCUUGUAUCCACGAGCUCCAUCAACCUUCCUUCGUUCUGCAAAAUCGUAGCUUGAGACGAAAGGCUAUUGCGUGAGACCUUUCUUCGUGGACAUAAGAACGAAAAAUAGGUUAAUGAGAUAAAACUUCAUUAUCUGAUUUGGAGAAAAUACAAAAAUCUUACCCAAUCAAGAAGGCAAAUGAAACUUUCACUGGGUCGAUAUUUCAUGUUGCUCUUUCCAGAAACAAUUUCUAGUGCAACGACGCCAAAACUGUACACGUCUGCUUUGUAGGUUAAGUAACCCCACAUUGCAUAUUCUGGAGCCAUAUACCCACUACAAAAUGAAAAUGAUCAAAUGCAUAUUAGCACAAGCUUUCGCUCCUAUUUCUCAAAUAAACAAGCUCAAAUUUCAAAUGUUGCACGUGGAUGAUUUGAAUAAUAAUUUAGUGUUGCAAAUGUUGUGAUAGUAAAUAUUCCAAAAGACUUUAAACUGCUUUCAUCUUGUUCAAGUUUGUAUAAAAAGUUCAAUUGUAAGUAAAUAAAGUGAAUUUUUCAAUAAAUAAUUAUUUUAUUGGUCAACUAAAAAUGGUGAGAUGAAGAAAGAGAAAAAAUCUCACAUGGUCCCUGCAACUCUAGUGCUGAUGUGGGAGUUAUCAUCCUCAUCGAGCUUAGCUAAACCAAAAUCGGAAAUCCUUGGAUUGAGGUCUUUAUCAAGAAGAAUGUUGUUAGGUUUUAUGUCUCUAUGAACAAUUUUCAAUGUGGAUUCUUCAUGCAAAAAAGCCAAGCCUCUUGCUAUACCGAUACAAAUUCUUUGUCUGGUUGGCCAGUCCAUUUUUAAUUGCCUUUCCUCUGGUCCUGUACUUGAUAAUACGAUUCAAUUAAGUGUGUGCAUGGAUUUUAAAUACUAAAUUUGUAUAUUAGACAAGAUUUUAAAGAAUGCAUAACGCAGGUACAAAUUCCAAUUACCAUAUAAAGCGCGGGCAAGGCUAUUGUUUUCCAUGUAUUCAUAAACCAGCACUAAAUGGCUUCCCUCAAUGCAACAUCCAUACAAUUUUACGAGAUUUGGAUGCUGUAAACCAGAAAUCAUGCCUAUUUCAUUCACGAAUUCACGGUUCCCUUGCUUUGAUUUGGAAGACAGCUGCUUGACAGCAAUUACACUACCAUCCAACAGUAUACCCUGCAAAUGAAGCAUUUAUAGUAUCACAGACAUGCACGCAUAUAGAAAUGUUAGAAAAAUAUAAGCGCGAAGGUAUAGACAAAGUAUAAGAGAGAAAAGUUGGAAGUUAAUAUUUCUACAUACCUUGUAGACAGAUCCAAAACCACCUUCCCCAAUUUUAUUUGCAGCAUCAAAGUUGUUUGUGGCGGCUUUGAUUUGUCUAAAAGUAAAAAAGCCAGUCCGCAAAUCUAAUCCCCUUAGUUCUGGAAAAGAACAAUUUUUAGAUGUUGAAUUCAUUGUAAGCUAUAUAGUUAAGGAUUCCACCAUCUCUCUUUUUCUCUAUACAGUACACUAGAAUAUGUUCUAGUUUUUCUUUGAUCUAUUGCUUGUCCAUGGUCACAUCACCACGAGAAAAUUAUUUAUCCAAAAUUUGAGAGUAACUUCCAUAGAUGUCAUGUGAUGCAUUACUACUGUAAGACUAUCCAUAAAAUUAUAUACGACAAUUCAAUAUUUACAUUCUUGCUUAAAUACUAAGAAAGGUCUAUUUGUUUACCUUCUUCCCUUGAGAUCCUGCCUCCUAUAUAGCCUUUCCACCAAGAAAAAAUAAGAAUAAUGAGAAUGAAAAAAAUUGCCAAAGCUGUUACUCCUGUUGGGAUGAAAAUAUUCGUUCCUCCGGACGGAGGCUUAAAAUCUACAUAAUGAAAGAAAUAAAGAAUAAUUGUUACAUGGUGUUCAGUUUGCUAGCUAGCACCAGAAAAAAUCACAUAAAGGAAUUGGUAUAGGAAAUUUGAGAACAAUAACAAGUGAAAAAGAACGAUAAUAGAUUAAUUAAUAGAGUACUAAUUUAAGUGCCAACAACACCUGAGUUUUGUCGCUUAAGUUGCAAAAGAUUAGUGGUUGUGCAGAUAAAAUGUAUAUUUUCUCAAAUAAAUCGAUAAAAAAAAAUCUUAAGAGAGAUAGAGGUGUUUUGAGGAUAAAUUUAAUGGUAUUACACAGACUAUCUUACCAGAUUCCACAGAAAUGGCAGAUAUCAAAGGGCCAUAUACUGUUCUGAAAGGGAUGUCUAUUGAUCCUUUCCCAGAAUAGUAAAAUCGGAUAUCCAAAGUUAUAUUCUUAACCGUCGCAUUAAAUGGUUUUUUCACAGCUUUAGCAACUCCUUUCGCUUCCUUCUUAAUAUCAAAAUCUUUCAAUUUCAGUUCAUCCUGUAUUAUGUUGAAUAAGUUUGAGUCAAAUCGCAAUAGUAAAUAGCACCAAAAAGAACUGUUUAUUUAUUACUUGACCUGGAUAUAAACGUCAAACAUCCGUCUCCCAAGACUCUGGAAAGAGUUAUCAUCUCUGAAAACUAUCUCUGCAAAGUGAAGUGUCACAGUGUAGUUUCCAUUUGCUAAGCAACGCCCGUAAUAAGUGAGAGAUAAAGGAGAUAGACGCGCAUCUGUAUAGAGUUCAGAGUCCUUCAUUUUCAGCACAGAUACAUUGUUGGCAUUAUAGUGAUUCUUGAACGAGGGAAACUGUCCUGUACUACUAGCUCCCCAGUUCUCUUUUGAGUGAACAAAUUGAACUGAACCUCCUAUUUGUACAUCAGCUUCAAAUCUUUUGUUGCCAACAGUAACUUCCCCUCCACCACAAUUUACAUAAAAGGAAUACCAAUCUGUGAAAAACCAAAGCAUAUUAAGUUUUUUAGAACAUUUCCAAAAGAUUCUUUAAACAUAAAAUAUUCUCUAUUUUAAAGAAUCAAGCCUUAAAGUUAUGUUUCAAGAGACUCUUUAAUUUAACAUUUUAAUUUAUAGAGAGUUUGACUCUCCAAAUUUAGAGAGUCAAACACGCUCUUUAUAAUUUAAUGCAUUUAAAAUAUUUCAAUUUUCAGUGAAAAAUAAUAUAAUAAUUUAGAGGAAAGCUAGUGAAAAUAAAAGACAAGAAAAAAAUAAUAAAUAUUUUUUUGAAGUAGUAAAAUUAAGUAUUAUAUACAAUGUUUUGAAAACUGGCCAGGACAUCGACCCGGAAAAGAAUAAGGGUCAAGGGUAGAAAGGUUGAACCGGGGUCGAACCGGGAUUGAAGCGUAUGCUAUAACUAAGUAAAUAAAUACACCUAAAUAAUAAAAAUAUUAUAACAAUUUUGUUAACAAAAUUAGUAUCACUAAUUCAAACUAAAUAUAAAUCCACAUUUGUCAAUUAGAUUUAUUAUCUUAUAAUUUAUUUUAAAACUUCAAAAACUAAUUAUUAAUAUGUCCAAAAUAAUUUGCUUUGUUCAAUUGAAAUUGUUUGUACUUUGGGGACCAUGAUUUUCAUAUAAUGUAGAAUGAAGUAGAUAAUUAAACAUUUUUUAAGAAUUCAAUUGGCCAUAGACCCUGUAACUUUUAUAAUUAUAAUUUAUCUCACAGUUGACCAUAGAAAAUAUGGAAUUUUUUGAAACUAGCUGACCACUUAUCCAACGGCCCAAGUCCUAACUCUAUCCCACAUCGGUUGAACAAUGAAAAGGUGCGAGAGGAUUCACUUUUAAAAGUAGCAACAUGCUGUGUUCAAUAAAACAGGCCUGCUACCAUUGCAAUUGGGCCCAUUAAGCAAACUUAAAAUCAAUUUUUGAAUAAUAAAAUAUAUAAAGUGCAGCUUAAAGGAACCGGUAAAAUCGUGUCCGGUUUUACGUUUUGCAGUUAACCGGACGGUUCGAAGGUUUAUUGACCGGUUUUUAGUUAAUAGGGUUAAUAUGUAGUGACCGGAUCGGAUUUGAGGGCGGUUCAUGAUUUUUUGGGUUGAACCGACCGGUCAGGUCCGGUUUUAAAAUUAUUGAUUAUAUAUAAAAAACUUGUUGAAGUACUCAAAAAUUUUUACUCCCUAAAUUUAAAUGUUUUUUUGUCGUUGGAGCUCAUUCCAUGAUCUUAGAAAUGGUGAAUUUCGGGCUCAGUUUUUAAUUAUAUUUCUCUACCAAACAACCAAUCUGCACUACUCCAACCCACAAUCAGUAUAUUCAUCUCGAUUUCUCCUCAGUCUCACCUACAAAGAAUAAGGUAAUGGUGAUGAUUUGUAGGCCACGAAGGCAUGGGAAAAACAACGAAAAAGGCAAGAGAAUGGACCAAAAUACACAAGAUGAAGGCACUGAUUUUCUCUCUAUAUGGCUGCUGACUUUUCCAGGAAGAAGCAACCAUAUUUUUCCUCAUUUUCAUAAACAAAUCAUACACUAAUGGCAAGGGGAAAAAGCAACAUAUAUAUAGGGUUAGGUUAGGCUUUAGUUAGACCAAUAAGGGUUAAAUGAGCCAAAAUUCAAAGUCAUCCAAGAGGUAAUAUCUAUGGGCUGUGAGUAGCUUUAAUUUCUUAAGCUACUUCCUACGGUCCAUAUGGUUUUUAGGUCGCGCUUUUAGACUUAAUUGUUGGUAACAAUUUCACUCAUCGGCCAAUACCUAUGAAAUUCAAUCUGACAUUUACAUCAUAGUCAAAGAUUUAUUAGGUAGCAAAACUCAACAAAUCUUCACCUUUAUACCCAAUCAACUUACAAGUAAUCAAAUUACAAAGUUAGUACUUACACAAUCAAAGUAACUAAUAAAAUUGGAAUCACAGGCUUUACCUCGUGUUUUGGACCCAAAACACAUACCAUACCAACUUUAUGUACUCGCCAGGGCUAUGGUCUUAAACAAAUACCCAAGUAGAAGUAUAUAAUAACAGUAAACAAUCAAGAGCAAAUAAAUAUACGAUGAAGAUAUAACAUAAGAUAAUACACAGAUCUUUUCAAAAUCAUAUUCGCACAGAACAAAAGAUUAACACCAAGUUAAUCAACAAACGAUCAACAUAUAUACAACAAAUGCAUAAAUGACCACAUGAAAAGAUCUUACCACACUUAUCCUAUCCCAUUUUUGUUCCCCUCUCAUUGCUCACCAUGUUUACUAAAUUGAUUAUUCAACUCAUGUCUAACAAGUAAAUCACAAUAGGUCAUAAAUUCGUGGGAUAAUCCUAUAUCGCCAUAUCAUUUUUCCAACCUACGUGGGGUGGAUAAAUGAGUAUCCACCUAACAUAAGUGAUAGAAGUGUAUCUUUUACACUCCACAUGAUCAUGAUUUUCUCAGAUAAAGAAUUCCAACAUUUAAUCACAUUUUCACUCGUGAUCAAAAUGUCACAUCUCACAUUCCUGGUACAAACCAUCAAUGCACCCCUAGUCAUCUAUACUUCACCUCACCAAUAGACACACAACACAAUUAUUGCUAAUACAUCCUAACCCACUAUGCAUGCAAACAAUUAUACCAAAUAAUCACAUUGCUCUCAAAUUCAUACAAUGGCACAUAUUAAACACAUAGAAAUGUCAUAUAACUAUGCAACAUAAUUAAGCAAUCACACACACAUGCAGAAAUGAUUACACACAUAUGCACAUGCAAUAACUAGGUUUACUCUCAAUAAACCUCACUACGAUUAUCACUCGACCUUAUAGCCAUAUUCACCUCACCUCACCUCUCAUCUUACCCUUUUGCUUAUCCCUUUUUUGGGACAAUCUCUCACAAAGUGUUCCGACUUACUAAAGCUGUAACAUUGGUUACCACUAGACUUAUCCGAACCUUUAACCUUUUUUUUACCACCCUCAUCACUCGAGUCACCACUUGAAUCACAACUGUCUUGAUUUCUUCCCAAAUUUAUUUGUUUAAACUUCAUUUUACUCUUCAUUAUAUAUAACUCACAACUCCUCUUAUCCUCCUUUUCAGUCUUAAUCUCUAUUUUCUUAUUGUUAAGAGAAUCUAUGGCAAUAUCGGGUGUAAAGAUGUCCCUUCCAUAUUUAAUUGCAUUCUUAACCUCUCUAUAUGAAUCAUGUAUUGAAUUAAGUAAAAUAAUGGCCUGAUACGUUUCAUACACCUCCUAUCACAGUUAAAAUUAUAUUGAACGAGCUUCUUAAAAACAUCUAAAAAUAUAUUGAACGAGCUUGGCAAGGAUUCAUUUUAAAAUUGAAAAAUCUUUUGAGCAGACACAAUUUAUUAGGAGUAGACUUAAGUAAAUAUAAAUCCUCCAACUUUUUUCAAAGUUUUUUAGUAGAAUCAAGUUUUUCAUUUUUUCUCAAAAUAGUGUCAGAUAGGUGUAAAAUAAUUGAUGUGUAAGUAAAUUUAUCCUAUUCUUCUUUUCGUGCUUCCAUCAAAUUUGCUGAAAAUUUGUCAUUUAUGACUUUUGAAACUUUUUGUUGAACUAAACUUUCCUUCAUUUUUUGUUGCCUAAUAGAAAAUUCCCCAUUCUUAUUGAAAAUUUCAACUUCGAAAUGUGAUGACAUUUUGAAAAAUAGAACAACUAAAGUGCACAAAUAUGUCACACAAAGUAAUCAUAAGGGCGCACUAUAUAUCAUUAUAGAUUCCCAGGGUUUCGUGAGACUUGAGAUCUCCGUAUCAAGGAAAUGUUCAAAUGGGUUAAUUCUAGGCAUUCUAACAGAAUAACCAAUGUAACACGAAGGUAUAUCAACAAAAAUUUAGUUUUUCACACAAUCCAGUCUCACACAGUGACUAAAUGGCAACUAGAGCACAAGGAUAAUUAUCAACUUACUAUCCAAUUCAACACUUCAAAUAUGGCAAGUAAUGCCUAAAUUUCUAGCACAAUCAAUGGUUAUCGACAUGGUAACCCCUAUCCUGAAAUAGAAAUUUAAAUUGGGAUAAGCCAAUAAAUCAGAAUGAACCAAUCUCAGUCCAUAAAUAGUGAGAGAUGCGAAUUUACACUUUUGGGCCACCACUACUUGCCAUAAAGUCUCCAUCAAUCGCAGAAAUCAAUCAACCAUGAUCGAAUCCCGAACACACGAAGGAUAAAUUUAUCCAGAUUCCACUGUAUAAACGGAAACAGAAAACUAAUAACAUCAAAAUGUUAGGAUUAAAUUACCUGAAGAGACCUCUAUCUGAAACCUUCGCAUGCGCCCUCAAGCGCCACCAACAGCCUCUGUGCAUGGGAUUCAUGCACUAGCCACUCUAGCGCGCCUUCACUUGCACGUCACACUAGUAGUCUCCAUUUCACCAAACUCAUUCUGGUUUGAUCAGAAAUCAUGAAAACAGCCUCAAUUUUUGUGUAAUUUUCUAGACAGUUUUCCAAUCUAUUUUCUGCUUCGUUUCAGCCAAUUUUCCGUCAAAUUUUCGAGCCAAAUCUAUUACUUGAAGCUUUGAUACCAAUUUUUGAGGAAGCUUUCUCCAAGAUCUUCGAAACAGUGAUUUUCGGGCUCAGUUUUACAUUACUUUUCACUACCAAUCAAUCCACACACUCUAACCCACAACCAAUUUAUGCACUCGGUUCCUCCUCAAUCUCACUCAUAAAUGACAAGAUAACGGUGAUGAUUUGUAGGCCACAAAGGCACGGGAAAAAUAACGGAAGAAAGCAAGAGAAGGGACCAAAAUACACAAGAUGAAGGCAUCGGUUUUCUCUCUCCAUGGGAGCCUAUUUUACAUGAAGAAGCAACCAUGUUUUCCCUCUUUUUCAUACACAAAUCAUAUACUAAUGGCUAGGGUAAAAAGUAACAUACAUAUAGGGUUAUGUUAGGCUUUAGUUGUGCCAAUAAAGGGUUAAAUAGGUCAAGAUUCAAAGCUAUUCAAUAGAUAAUAUAUAUAGGUCGUGAGUAGCAUUAAUUUUUAAGCUACUUCCAAUUGUCCAUGUUGUUUUCGGAUUGAGCCUUUGGACUUGAUUGUUGAUAAUAAUUCACUCAUUGACCAAUGCCUAUGAAAUUGAAUCCGAUGUUUACAUCGUAGCCCUAAAUUCAUUGAGUAUCAAAAUCCAACACUCUAAAUUGUAGAAUAUGCUCUUGAGUGUAAAAAGACAAAAGUGCUAUAACUAUAUACGAUAUAUAACAUUACUAUUGCAUUCUUUUUGUUUUUAGUUUUCAACUUGAGUACAAAAAAUGAUAUUGCAAACGUGAUGGUAUACUACGCUUGGAUGAUGAGAUUCGAGUAAACAAUCAAGGCUGAGCUUGUAAAACGAAGUACUUACCCUUUGAACAAGGAGUGAGGCACUUUCCAUGUUCUCUGUAUCAAGUCAUAUGGCAAGGGAGCAUAUUGAAUAAUAUGAUAUACAAAGUUAUGUUUAGAUUACAAUAAUCUUAUCUACAUAAGAAGCAACUUAAAAACUUACAAACUGUUUUCUCCACUAAAGCUUCUGAACAAGUUUCUGAUGCAGAAAGAAAGGGAAAAAACAAAUUGAAGCUAUGAAAAAUAUACAGAAAGAAAGCAUACAAAGAAAACGAAGAAAAAUUGGGGCUUACAUAUUGUUCCUGCAAAUUGAUGGAUCAGAAGUCUCAUUGAAGUUAUUGUAAGAAAGAUCUACGUGGCUGCAAAUGCAUUUAAUAUCUCUUUAAGAACUUAUUUCAAUCCUCUAAAAUCAAUGAAAGAAAAGAACCCAUAAAUUACAUAGUGAUAGAUGUCCAACAGUAUGUAGUAACUAAAGUAAAAAUGAGAUUCUUUUCGAACUUAUGAGACUAGUCCUAUAUCUUAAGGUGAGCUUCAACAACAAGAUGGCAAUUGUAUAUCUGGCUAUAAAGAUGUCAAUAGAGGUUCUGAGAGAAACGGAGAAAUUUCAUUUCUGUAUAAAUUUGAGGACAUCGUCAUUUAUGAUGGACAAUGCUACUAUUAAAUCACAUAGAUAAUUUUAUAGACGUUAAAUAAUAAGAAAUAUAGAAGUGAACUUACAGUUCUUCACUUAUGCUUUGGAUCCACUUUAGAAUUUGCCCACUAAGAAAGUUACUAGUCAGAAACCUAAUCACAAACAUAAAAUCCAAAUGAAAUCAAAAUUAUACAUUUAGAUUACAGAACAAAACAUCAUGAAAGAACAGAAGUAUAGCCUAGUAGAGUAUAUGAAUGACGCUUGAACACUAAGGAUUGAAUAUGAACUGGACAUCCUUAAGUUUGGUUACAGUAGUCCUUAUUACUUGUUUUGGAAAUAAAAAGUAGGAUUUAGGAUAUGAACACGAACAAAGUCUUCCAUUAUCACGCUGCAAUAUAUGACAGGUGAAUGACAGACCAAAGCUUUUGUACAAAUCAAUUGAAUAAUAUCAUACUAAUUCACUUACAAGUUCGUUAGAAUUGGUAGGCGAUCAAAAUCUGGAACCUCUCCUUUUAAGUUGUUAAAGCUCAGAUCUCUGUGAAUACACCACAUGAACAUCUUACGACCAAACGCAUAUUUUCUCAGCUUAACAAUAUAGCAGUGCAUAGUUAUCAUAACAUAGAAAAGUAUACCUAAAUUUUGUAUGAUAUCCAAAAAGAAAGAAAAAAGAUGGGCACAAAAGCAAUGGAAGCAUAGGAAAACAAACAAAAAUUACAGGAUUUUGUAAUGUAGGUCUUGGGAAAAACUAAUGUGGCAAGCUCUUGGAUGGUACAAAACUUCACAAUCUGAAAAUGCACAUGGAACGUCCUCUAUAUUUUUCCAUAGCUAGGUCUCCACCACAAGUACAUAUUUUAUUACAAGCAGUAGGUUUUUGUGGCAUGGAGUACAACAAAUUCGUGUUUUUGGUCACUAUCUUCAACAAGUAUCAAUAUAAGAGUCAAAUAUACUCAAUGAUAAUCAAUAAUACUCGAUGUCCUUCAAUGUGAGAUGUUCUCUUAUUAUAUAAAAUUAAAUUCACAAAUAAAUAUGGUAGUUAUCAAUUAUAAUUAUUCAUUAAUGGUAACUUAUUAAAUAUGGUAGUUUUCCUUAUAUUUCACUGACAUCCCCUCUAAAAUCUCAAAUUGAUGCUUAUUAAUUUGCAAUCAUAAGUUGACGGUGGCGACAUUGCUCGUGCCCACGAAAAAGAUAUCCAAAUCAAAGUAAUCAUCUACGAAAAAUUGUUACAACGAGAGAGCAAGAACAAUAAAUAGUACAGAAACAUCCAAAAACUACCUCAAGAAUAUUCCAAAACCACUCUAGAGAGUUCACAGGCCAAGAAGAAUUUCAAAAAGAAAUUCAUGAAGUGUACCGAUCACAUAAUGAGAUCGGGAGAACUCAGUCAAAUACAUAAUUAGUAUUCCAUCAAAAUCUCUAAUGGACAAUAUAUCGGCCAAAAAAUUAGUAAUAUAUCGUUGUCGGGACGCUAUAAUUGGAAGAAAUAUCAGAAAACAGCCUACACAAAAAAAAACCCCAAAGAUGAUCUGAAAACCCAAAACUCUUGCUCGUCACUCGAGCAACCGAAGCUCCUCCCAUGUCUCUCUCAUCCCAAUGACCCAUCAAUAUGAUUGCCAAGUUCCUUAUUGGAAGCAAAUCAAGCCACAUCCAUGUCGCCCACAAAGAGAAACCGCAAUUUAUAGCCCAACUGCUCACAACCCGUAAUUACCUUAGCCCAUUUUUAAUCAAGUUAUACCCUCACGUCCAAAAGUCGAGCCUACUUUCAACAAAUCCCUAACCUAUUCAAAAAGCCUAGAAUAAAAUACUCCUUAUUCAAAAUUGUUGAGGCCCAUAAUCAUCCAUUAAAGUCUUCAAAACCUAACCCAUUCAUCAAAUAAUAACGACGUCCAAACGAACAAAGCAACAGGCCCACCUACAAAUCCAUGACUCAGUGUCUUUUUUUAUCCCAUUCACUUAAGAAUCUUCAGAUCACUGCUAAAAAUCCAUGAAUUUUACUCUCAAUAGUAACACUUCCUCUCUUUAAUCUGACAGUCUUGGAUUGAACUGAUACACAUUUUUUGCGCAAAUCUACAUAGUCACAUUCACAGAAGUGUGAUUGUGUGUGAAAUGGCGUGUGAAGGAUUGUAGAAAAGUAAUGGGGUCUAGGAUAAAAAUCAAAUUCCAAUAAGAAUUCUCUCUGCUUCUGAUGAUAAAGAUAUGUUGGCUGGUGCUCCACCUCAGAAUUCCCAAUCAUUGAUGAGCCUCUGCACCUCAGAAUUGCUAGCAUUCAACGAGAAAUAUGGUGCUCCAUGGUCGAAUAAUAGCUCUCUCUCAUCUUCAGCAAUUUCUCUGCAUUGAGAGAUCCGACCCUUGGGUCGUCUAGUGGACUACUGGACUCAAAAAUGGUGACUAAAAUUUCCAUUUCUUCUAGAAUCAACUGUUCCUGAAAUCCCAUUGCCUAUGACAAAUUGGAGGUGACGCUUUACAUGUCAGCAACGGCUGCGAGUAAGCUUGGUUCUGUUCAGUUCAUAGCAAUUUACAAGAUCGAACACAAGGAAUAUGGAUAGGGUCCAUAGCAGCGGGGGCAAACUUUUCCUAAUCUUUCUCUUCCAAUUAACUUUUCCCCCUAUAUUGUUGGAAUUAAUUGAAUUUGAUUUGGGUUUAAAAUAUUAAAUGUAAUAUUUAAUGAUAUGGGCCAUUGCAAUUAAUUUGGGUGAAUUGGAAAAGUCUCCAAUAUAGGCCCAUAUGUUGAUAAGCCCAUUUUAAGUGUUUUUUAUAUGGAAAGGAGUCCCACAUCGAAAGUUUACAAGAAAACAGUCUUGUUUAUAUAGUGGGUUGUGUGAAUAAUAUAUAAUUUAACAUGUUACCUACCACUUGGCUAACUUUAGCUAGCCAAAGGCUAGCAAACUAGCCAAAGGCUAGUCACCACUAGAGUGGUGCUUCGCACCACUAGCACUGCUCCCCGGACCCGGUCCCGGCACGCGCACGUGCACGUCGCAAAGUACGCAUUGGGCACUUUAGAGGUGCACUUGGUACUUGGCACGUACGCAUCGUCGGAGGAGCUGGGGAGCCUUAUAGUUUUCAAAAAUGGACUCGUGGUUCGAUGAGGUGGCAGCACAAGGCUCGGUGAGUUGGCAUUCUAGGUGGCGCACUAGUGGUCGGCAUUCUAGGUAGCGCACGAGUGGUAGGUCGCGUCCCUUCAUCCUGCAUGGCGGUUAGAUGUACGUGUGGUAUCCGCAUGGCUGUGACUGUUCAGAAAUUGGUGAAUAGGCAUGAUGAAUGGACACUUCACUUCAUGGUUCAAUCUGGGCCGUCAGAUCAUAAAAAUAGUGCGAUCCAAUGGCUAAGACGAAUCAAACCAAGUGGUGCACCAGUUCCUGAAAUGUCACACACCUGUUCCAUGAGACACUUCAAUCUCUAUAAAUAGGGACCCCCAGAUUCGUUUUUUGAUACACCAAAUCAAUUACGAAUUCAAUUGAUUUCUAAAUUCUUCUCUCUCCAUAUUCUUCUCCAAAAAAAAAUCUCUUAUACUUCCGUGGUUAUUCCGUUCAAGUAUGAUCAUUCAUUGGUUCGACCGACAAGGUUGGUAUUGUGUAGUAUCGACUUUGGAAGGAGCGUUGUAUCUUGGGAGACAGACGUUCAUAAUCCCGUUUGCACUUUAUUGUGAGGCGAAAUCUGUCUUAAGGAGAUUUGCUCACUUUAUUAGCAUACCUCGCUUCAUUUACUGUUUAUUUUUCUACUUAUUUUAUUUCUUCUUUUGAUUGCGUUCGUCGAAUUUUCGACAACAAUCUUAAGACAGACUUUUUAUUUUCUCAUUUCUUCUACAUUUCUAUUAUUGAUUAUUUUCUGUAAGUGUGGUUUUACAGAAAAUGGCUAGUACAUCAAAUAAUAAUACUAGCGCUGUGAUUGGUACUGUUGAGAGCAAUACUAAUGCGGUGAUUGCGCCAAAUUCAGGUUCCAAUCAAUUUGUCAUGCCGCCGGCUUCACAAUAUGAGAAACCGAAAAAGUUCAAUGGCACGGAUUUCAAACGUUGGCAACAGAAGAUGCUAUUCUAUUUGACAACAUUGAACUUAGUAAAAUUUCUGCGUGAAGAAUGUCCUGCACAAACAUCGGAGAAUGCUACUGCUAAAAAUACUCAGUUAGCUAUUGAAGCAUGGAAACAUGCAGAUUUCUUAUGCCGUAAUUACAUUCUCAAUGGAUUAGAUAACACUUUAUAUAGUGCGUAUUGUAAUUACAAGACGACUAAAGAACUGUGGGAGUCUCUUAACAAAAAAUACAAAACUGAAGAUGCCGGAAUGAAGAAAUUCAUUGUCGGCAAAUUUCUAGAUUUCAAGAUGACUGAUUCAAAGACAGUUAUGAGUCAGGUUCCAGAGAUACAAGUUCUACUUCACGAUAUUGAAGCUGAAGGUAUGACUUUAAGUGAAUCUUUCCAAAUAGCUGCGAUGAUCGAGAAACUACCUCCACUAUGGAAAGAUUUCAAAAACUAUCUCAAGCAUAAACGCAAAAAGAUGACGAUGGAGGAUCUAAUUGUUCGACUUCGCAUUGAAGAAGACAAUCGGGCUACAGAAAAGAAGAAUAAUGUCCGCAACAUGGAAGCAAAGACUAACAUGGUAGAAGACUCGGGGUCUAAGAACAAGAAAAGGAAGUGUUCUGGCUCAUCUAUGGACAAAGAAAAAGUCAACAAUACAAAACGAUUCAAAGGCAACUGUUAUAUUUGCGGGAAGCCGAGAUAUCAAGCUAAAGACUGUCGAAGCAAAAAGAAGGAUACGCAGAAAAGGAAACCGCCCCAAGCCAAUAUAACCGAAGUGGAUAAAAUUUCUACGGAUGUUGNNNNNNNNNNNNNNNNNNNNNNNNNNNNNNNNNNNNNNNNNNNNNNNNNNNNNNNNNNNNNNNNNNNNNNNNNNNNNNNNNNNNNNNNNNNNNNNNNNNNNNNNNNNNNNNNNNNNNNNNNNNNNNNNNNNNNNNNNNNNNNNNNNNNNNNNNNNNNNNNNNNNNNUAGAUUUGUACUUACUAAGGGGGGCAUGUAUGUUGGGAAGGGUUAUUUACUUGAUGGUCUAUUUAAGGCCAAUGCUGUUGUAGUGGACAAAAAAUCCACAUAUCUGUAUCCACAAGUUAUCAAUAAAACUAAUGCUUCUGUUUACUUGCUUGAAUCUUCAAAUUUAUGGUAUAGCAGAUUAGGACAUGUAAAUCGUGCUUCCUUAAGAAAACUUGUAGGUUUAGGUCUUAUACCUAAACUUGACUCCGAAAAUAAACAUAAAUGUGAAAUUUGUGUUGAAGCAAAAUUUGCUAAAAAAACCUUUUAACACAAUUGAAAGGAGUAGUGAACCGUUGUGUUUAAUACAUAGCGAUAUUUGUGAUCUAAAAUUUGUUCAGACUCGAAGUGGUAAAAAAUACUUUAUCACAUUUAUAGAUGAUCACAGUAGAUAUUGCCAAGUUUAUUUAUUAAGUAGCAAAGACGAAGCAUUGAAUGCAUUUGUUACUUACAAAAAAGAAGUUGAAAAUCAACUUGGAAAAACAAUUAAGGUAUUAAGAUCCGAUAGAGGUGGUGAAUAUGAUUCGUCCAUGUUUGAUGAAUUAUGUGCUCAGUUUGGUAUUAUUCACCAAACAAUAGCCCCGUAUACUCCGCAGCAAAAUGGGAUUGCUGAGAGGAAAAAUAGAACUCUAAAAGAAAUGGUUAAUGCUAUGCUUAUAAGUUUUGGAUUACCACAAAACUUGUGGGGGGAAGCAGUGCUAACUGCUAACUUUAUUCUGAAUAGAGUUUCCCAUAAGAAAAUGGUUCAAUACCUUAUGAGUUAUGGAAAGGUAGAAUGCCUUCCUAUAAAUACUUAAAAGUGUGGGGGUGCCUAGCUAAAGUGGCUAUUCCACCUCCCAAAAGGAUUAAGUUAGGUCCUAAAACUAUUGAUUGCAUUUUUAUCGGAUAUGCAAUAAAUAGUAGUGCGUACAGAUUUCUUGUGCAUAAAUCUAAUAUAAGUGACAUUCAUGUCAAUACAAUUUUUGAAUCUCGAGAUGCUGAAUUCUUUGAAGAUGUGUUCCCUAAUAAAAGAGAUAUUCGUGAGAAUACUCUAAAGAGAACACGAGAUAAUGCUAUUGAAAACAAUAUAGAACCUGAAUCAAGAAGGAGUAAAAGAGCAAAGGUCGCUAAAUCUUUUGGUCCAGACUUUAUUUCUUUCGUAAUUGAGAAAGAGCCCCAAACAUUUAAAGAAGCUGUGACUAGUCCAGAAUCCGUAUUCUGGAAGGAAGCUAUAAAUAGUGAAAUUGAAUCUAUUAUGAAUAAUAAUACUUGGCAAUUGGUUGAUCUUCCUAAGGGAACUAAACCAAUAGGAUGCAAAUGGAUCUUUAAAACAAAGUUAAGAUCUGAUGGUUCAAUAGACAAAUACAAGGCUCGACUGGUUGCAAAAGGAUAUCGUCAGAAAGAAAGAAUUGAUUUCUUUGACACAUAUUCUCCAGUAACAAGAAUUACUUCUAUUCGGGUUUUAAUUGCUACUGCAGCCUUGUACAACUUACAAAUACAUCAAAUGGAUGUUAAGACUGCAUUCCUGAAUGGUGAUUUAAACGAAGAAGUAUAUAUGGAACAGCCAGAAGGUUUCAUAGUGAAAGGACAAGAAAACAAAGUUUGCAAACUAGUUAAGUCCUUAUACGGUUUGAAGCAAGCUCCUAAACAAUGGCACGAAAAGUUUGACAGCGUCAUGAUUAGGAAUGGAUUCGUCAUAAAUGGAUGUGACAAAUGCGUAUAUUCGAAAAAAUUCGAAAAGGCUUACGUACUCGUCUGCUUGUAUGUUGAUGACAUGCUUAUAUUAGGGACUAAUAUUGAAGUCAUCAAUAGAACAAAGAAUAUACUUACCAAUAACUUUGACAUGAAAGAUAUGGGUGAAGCAGACGUGAUUCUAGGAAUAAAGAUAUCUAGAACAUCAAAUGGAAUAGUCUUAUCUCAAACCCAUUAUGUUGAUAAAAUAAUUGAGAGGUUUAAGACUCAUAAUAUUAAAGAGACGAGUAACCCAUUUCUUCCACAUAUAGUUCUUCACAAGAAUAGUGGAAAUGGGAAACAGCAGUUAGAAUAUUCCCAAAUUAUUGGUAGUUUAAUGUACCUGAUGAAUUGUACAAGACCUGAUAUAGCUUACUCGAUAAGUAAGCUGAGUCGUUACACAAAUAAUCCAAGUAAUCAACAUUGGGAUGCAUUACUUAGAGUUUUGGGAUACUUGAAACGGACCAGAGAGUAUUCAUUACAUUAUGGAAAAUAUCCUCCAGUAAUUGAAGGAUAUAGUGAUGCCAAUUGGAUAUCAGAUACAGACGAGUCAAAAUCUACCAGUGGCUAUGUAUUUACUCUCGGUGGUGGCGCUAUAUCAUGGAAAUUUUCUAAGCAAACGUGUAUAGCUCGAUCUACUAUGGAAUCUGAGUUUAUUGCUUUAGACAAAGCAGGAGAAGAAGCAGAAUGGUUAAGACAUUUCAUAGAAGAUAUUCCUAUAUGGUUAAAGCCUGUACCGGCUAUCUGUAUUCAUUGUGAUAACCAGGCCACAAUAGCCAGGGCUGAAAAUUUUGUGUAUAACGGUAAGUCGAGACAUAUACGUCGCAGACAUAACACCGUUCGGUAGUUGCUCUCAAAUGGAACAAUAUCAAUUGAUUUUGUUAAGUCAAAAGAAAACCUAGCGGAUCCGUUCACUAAAGGAUUUUCUAGAGAGCGUAUAGACUGCGCAUCGAGGGAAAUGGGUUUAAAGCCUAAAACCCAAUGAGUCAUCUUAGUGGAAACCUAACCUGGCAACUGGAGAUCCCAUGGACUAGGUUCAAUAGGAAAACUAAUUAUGAAUGACUCGAUAAGAAGCACUUAGGAGUUUAACUCCUUCCCAUUUCUAUGAUGCAAAAAGUGCUAUGAAGUGUAUUAAGGAUAAGCUUUGCUUUUAAUGAUGACUAUAAAUGGUACAAAUAAUUACAGUAGGAUACUCUUUAUAGUGCAUCACCUAUGUUAGUGCGAACUUGGCCGGUUCUAUGAGAAUUUACUUAGGCGAAUUCUCUAAAGCACUCGCAGAACCCAAGUAGUUCAGGGCCGAAAUAAUGAACACAAUAGAGAACCAAGUUUGAUAUGAGAGAUAAUGUGUUUGGUCUGUUGUCUGAGCUUGCAAUAACGGCUGACAGUUCAAAACGUUACGUUCACUGAUUAGCCAAGUGAGUUCGAUAGAUUCUUACUAAAGAAGGUUCAAAGCGAAAGCUACCUAUCUUGAUGCGUUAUCUUUCAGAUAGUACUCUUCUUUCGUCUUCCUUGAUCUGAGUCGACUUCUUCCAUUCAUGUGGGGGAUUGUUGGAAUUAAUUGAAUUUGAUUUGGGUUUGAUUUGGGUUUAAAAUAUUAAAUGUAAUAUUUAAUGAUAUGGGCCAUUGCAAUUAAUUUGGGUGAAUUGGAAAAGUCUCCAAUAUAGGCCCAUAUGUUGAUAAGCCCAUUUUAAGUGUUUUUUAUAUGGAAAGGAGUCCCACAUCGAAAGUUUACAAGAAAAUAGUCUUGUUUAUAUAGUGGGUUGUGUGAAUAAUAUAUAAUUUAACAUGUUACCUACCACUUGGCUAACUUUAGCUAGCCAAAGGCUAGCAAACUAGCCAAAGGCUAGUCACCACUGGAGUGGUGCUUCGCACCACUAGCACCGCUCCCCGGACCCGGUCCCGGCACGUAUACGCGCACGUCACAAAGUACGCAUUGGGCGCUUUAGAGGCGCACUUGGCACGUACGCAUCGUCGCGAGGAGCUGGGGAGCCUUAUAGUUUUCGGAAAUGGACUCGUGGUUCGAUGAGGUGGCAACACAAGGCUCGGUGAGUUGGCAUUCUAGUGGCGCACGAGUGGUCAGCAUUCUAGGUGGCGCACGAGUGGUAGGUCGCGUCCCUUCAUCCUGCAUGGCGGUUAGAUGUACGCGUGGCAUCCGCAUGGCUGUGACUAUUCAGAAAUUGGUGAAUAGGCAUGAUGAAUGGACACUUCACUUCAUGGUUCAAUUUGGGCCGUCAGAACAUAAAAAUAGUGCGAUCCAAUGGCUAAGACGAAUCAAACCAAGUGGUGCACCAGUUCCUGAAAUGUCACACACCUGUUCCAUGAGACACUUCAAUCUCUAUAAAUAGGGACCCCCAGAUUCGUUUUUUGAUACACCAAAUCAAUUACGAAUUCAAUUGAUUUCUAAAUUCUUCUCUCUCCAUAUUCGUCUCCAAAAAAAAAAAAUCUCUUAUACUUUCGUGGUUAUUCCGUUCAAGUACGAUCAUUCAUUGGUUCGACCGACAAGGUUGGUAUUGUGCAGUAUCGACUUUGGAAGGAGCGUUGUAUCUUGGGAGACAGACGUCCAUAAUCCCGUUUGCACUUUAUUGGGAGGCGAAAUCUGUCUUAAGGAGAUUUGCUUACUUUAUUAGCAUACCUCGCUUCAUUUACUGUUUAUUUUUCUGCUUAUUUUAUUUUUUCUUUUGAUUGCGUUAGUCGAAUUUUCGACAACAUAUAUUGCUUGAAACUCUUCGCAGAUUAAUUGCUCCACUGCUUUGGUGAAGUACUUAACUUAGUUUGGUGGCAGGCACACAAUUCAUCUUUUAUCUCACCGUGAAUGCCUAAAUAUCAAUAGGAGCGACAUAACCUAUUUCUUCUGUGCUAAACAAUUGAACUAAUUAUUUCUUAGGGUUAAGUGCUCUCUCCCAGUCUUCAGGUCGCUAUUACUUUGGCUGCUCUACCUCCGCCCACUGUUGAGACGGUUGUCGAUGGUGUAAUUAGGGAGAAAGAAUAGAAAAAUCACUUGAGGAUGAAUUGAGUUCUAAUCUAUAUGAUAUUCGAAUAUACUCAGUCAUAAUCAGUAAGGCUUAAUGCCCCUCAAUAUAAGAGGUUCUCUCGUUAUAUUGAAAUAAAAAAAAAAACUAAAUAUUCUAGCUAUCAAUUACAAUUAAUCAUUAAUGGUAACUUAUGAAAUACGGUAGCUUCCUUAUAUAUGAGCUUUCCUUAUAUUCCACUGACAGAAAUUUCCGAUGCCUCCCAAAUAAAUGGUUAUUUCUAGAAUGAAAGAAGAUGAAAUAAGAACUGUAGUUGUGUUAAAAGUUUACACAAUUCUUUAACUUUAAAUCUCAUAAAAAAUUAGCUCUUCUAAAUGUGAAAAGAAAACAACUAAAAUGCUAGAGGGAGUCCAGGACUACGAGCUGCUGGGUAUAUUCUUUUUAAGUAACUCAUAGAGUUGGCAUUUAGUCACGAGAAUAUUGAAACAAUUAUGAUGUGGAGUGUAAUUGUAAAAAGAAGAAAAUAGGUACUACUACUAGAAUCAGUACUUACAUAGCCUUCAUUGAUCCAAUGUCUGCAAGGUAAUUAGGAAUGCUUCCAGUUAUGUUACAGCUACUUAACGUCCUGCUAGCACGCAACAUAUGUAUAAAAUAAUAUGGUUCUAAAGGAAAUUAUCACAAUCUUCUAAGUUCUUUAUUGAUUUAGUGUGACAUUUACUCACAAAUACGUAAGGUUUCUCAUGUCUUUUAGCAGUGGGAACUCUGAAGCACCUCCAUUCAAGUUACUAAUAAUUCUGUAGAGAUAUCACAUUACAUCAGUUGUCAUCUUUACCAUCAAUGUAUAGUAAAUGAACAAAAUAUUGUUAUUGAAGUAUUGACAAACUGAAAUCUGACUGAAUAGGUUUCAACUCACAGUUCCUCUAAAUUUUUUAAGAUGGAAAUACUAGGAGGUAUGGGUCCUUCAAAACCACUGCCUUUUAUCACUCUGUUGAUAAUAAAUUAAUAAUGUCACGUAAACAAAAGUCGCAACUGUAAAUAUUGCAUUUUGGAAAAUGCUCAUUCAGGAAAGGACUUACAAGCUCUUAAGGUUUGUCCAGCUCCGAAAAUUAGGUAAUUUUCCAGUGAAGUUGUUACUGAUUAGCCAACUGCAUUGGCCCCAAAAGACAUGUUAUCAUUAAAAUAGCAGAAAACUGUUUGCACCUUUCCAGAUUAAAAAACUUUAUGCUUUGAGAAAUGUGUGGUAAAAUACUUACAGGUCUGUCAACAUUUUUAGAUUAUUUAAUUCAAUCGGCAACUCACCAGUGAGAUUGUUAUCAUAUAGAUAGCUGCAGUGACCAAAAAAGACAAGUUACACGUACAUAAAUGGGUAAAUUACAGCCACUAUUUCUAACCUUUUGUUGGAGUAAUUUUCAAAAGAAUGUCGUUUAGACAUUGGUAAAUUAAAUCAAGGAAAUACAAUUCAAAAAGCACUUGAUCAAGAUGUGACAAGAACGAGAGACGUAGGAACGGACGAAAACUUGAGCCAGUUUGCAAAGCAAACUAGUGCAGGUGGGCAACAUGGAAGUGCUCUUGUGCUUCCUGGUUCGCGCAGGUGCGCUACCAUGUUGUCCACCUGCACUAGUUUGCUUGGUUGGCGCAGAUACGCUGCUUGUGCUGGGCAGCCUUGAGAUUAAGCCAGCAGCUGUAAGAACUUACAUUUUUAGAGAACGUAAAUAGCAAAAAUGAAUAGGAAAGUUUCUGUGUAUUGAAGAUAAAAGUCUCGCUAAUUGUACGUUAUGUGGUCCUUAAAUAUGAAUGGAAAAAUGCAGCACUAAUUAUAGUUGUUUACAGCUGCACACUUUUUGAAAAUUUCAACUAAACUAUCUAAUUCUUCAGCUCACUUCCAUGUCAGCUUCUUCUGGUAAUCUCAACAGCCCCCUUCAAGGUGGAGUGUAUAUGUUGCACAUAUUCAUCUUGCACAGUAGAGAAUGAAACAGAGAUACUCCCACUGGUUUUGUCAUAAUAUCUGCUAGUUGAUUACCUAAAGAGACAUGCAUGGUGUGUAAAAUUCCAGCCUUAAUCUUGUCCCUUACUAAGUGACAAUCUAGUUCGAUAUGUUUUGUUAUCUCGUGAAAUAUAGGGUUGACAGCGAUGUGUAAUGCAGCUUGAUUAUCACAAUAUAACAAUGCAAGCUUCUUAUGUUUGAUUCCCAAGUCAGCUAGUAGGUAUAAAAGCCAUUGAACUUUGCAUGUAGCAAAUGCCAUAGCACGGUAUUUAGCUUCUACUGAAGAUCUGAAAACUAUACUUUGCUUAUUAGACUUCCAGGAUAUUAAAGCAUUUCCUAAAAAGGAACAAUAUCUAGUUAUAGACCUCCUUAAAUCAGGGCAACUUGCCCAAUCUGAAUAUGAAAAGAUUUUCAACCGUAAGUCAUUUUCUUUAGGGAAGAAAAUCCUCUGUCCUGGCAUGCUCUUGAUAUAUCUCAAUACCCUAUAAGUUGCAUUCAAAUGAGGUUUCCUUGGUUGGUUUAUAAACUGACUUAACACUUGAACCACAUAACUCAAAUCAGGCCUAGUAAUGGUUAAGUAUAAUAACCGUCCCACCAGCCUCCUGUAGAUUGAUGCAUCAUUCAAUAAUUCUUCACUUUCUUUGUCCAGUUUAAUGUUCAACUCCAUUGGUGUGUUUGUUGGUUUAGCACCACUGAAGCCAACAUCUUCUAAAAUGUCUAUGGCAAAUAUUUUUUUACACAAAGAAAUUCCCAUCUUAGACCUAGCCACCUCCAGUCCUAGGAAAUAUUUCAAUGCCCCUAGAUCCUUUAUCUUGAAUUUCAUAUCAAGAGAAGCCUUCAAAUCAUUCAUGCCUUGCAAAUCAUUUCCUGUCAAGACAAUGUCAUCCACAUAUACUAGAAGAGCAACAAAAGAGCCAUUUCUAUUUCUGGUAAAGAGUGAAAAAUCUGAGAACUUAGUGAACCAUUGCCUUGAGGCUAGUUUUAAGCCGUAUAAAGACUUGUUCAGCCAGCAUACCAUAUUGUGCCCUUUGCCGAAUUUUCAUGUAUAUUUUCUCAUUCAAAUCACCGUGUAAAAAAGCAUUGUUGACAUCCAAUUGUAAGAGGUCCCAAUCUAUAGCAGCAGCUAUAGCUACCUUUAAGGAAAUCAUCGCUAAUUUGGAGACUUUGGAAGUCAAAUAUAAUGAAGAAGAUUUGUGAUUGAUUUUAUUGUGUUCAUUGUCCACUUCAUACAUGUCUUUUAGAGACACAAUUUUAUAUAAUUGUGAUAUUCUCACCAACGAAGAAAUCUAUGAUGUUCUAUAUUCAAAGGAGAAGAUGAAGUCUCUUGUUGCAUAUGAGAGUCUUUGAGAUGACUUCAUUGUUGAUGGUGGUCAUUCAAAGGAUAAGUCAAAAAUCUAACUUCAAAUUUUAUAAUUAUUACAAAAAAGGGGGGCACUAGAUAAAUGAUUGUUAUAAGUUGUAGAAUAAAUCAAAAUUGACUGCAAAUAAACAAUCAGAAAUUUUAGGAAAAACAAGUAUUGCAAAAAAAAUCCUAACAAUGAUGGAGAGCUUUUACUUAUGUCUAACUACAACUCCAAAUUUAACGAGGCUUGGAUUUUUUAUGCUGCUUGCACUUUUUAUAUGACUCCUAAUCGAGAUUUGUUUUCAACAUAUGAAGAAGUUUUAAAAGGUAUUGUAAUGAUGGGUAAUAAUACACAUUGUCGAAUUAAAAUAAAGAUGUUUGAUGGGAAGGUUAGAACACUUAAUGCAGUGAGGUGUGUUCUAGAUUUGAAUAAAAAUCUUAUCUCCUUAAGUACUCUUGAUUCAAAAGAGUACAGUUAUACUUUUGAAGGUGGAGUCCUGAAAGUUAGUAAAUCAGCAUGUGUUUUGUUAAAGGGAUAUAGAAAAUUCCAUUUAAAUAUCUUGCAGUGUUAUAUAGAAUUUUUGAGCAAUCAGCAUAUUUUAAGAACUCAGGUGGAUUUGGAGUUGGAUUCUAUAUUGUUGGAGCCUAAUUUUAGGCUUUUUUUUUUUUUUUAAGAAUACAUCUCAGUUGAAUUUAGAAGUUAUAGGUAAAUCCGCCUUACCACCAUCAUCGAUGGUGUCAUUGUAUUUAGUUGCUUGUAAUAAACCUAUCUUUGGCCAUAAUAUUUCACAUAGAUACAAUUCUAUUGAUUUAGUUGAUGGUUUGAAUGUGAUUAAAGGUGUUGAUUCUAGCCAAGAUCCUUCUUUUAAUGUAUUCAGUUGUAAUUCUAUUAUAGGGGCUUGUUUCAACCUUGUUUGGUGGUCAUUAGUUUACUUUCUCCUUUAAUUGAGGUAGUAGAGGUGGAGAAUGUUUCGGUUGAAUUUUUUUAUGGAGAAGUUCGUUUGUGUCCUUCAGUGAAUAUUUGAAGUUUUUUCCUUGUAGUGGAAUUUGUCUUCAAGUGGAGAAUUUUUUUCUUUUGAAGUUUUAUUCAUUGUAGUGGAAUUCGUGUCAAGAUAGAGAUUGUUAGAAUUUGGCUGUGACCCGAAUUCUUUGUUGAAGAUAAUUGAGAGUUCUAAUUAAAGUGCACAUUAGGAAAAAUUCUUUUUGGACUGUUUUGUGGAAUUCUAUUCAAGUUUACUUGGCAAAUUCUAGUUAAAGUUCUACUUGAAAGCCCAUUAUGAAUUGAAAUUUGUGUUAAACUUGAAUAGAAUAUUGUGAUGAAGAAAAUCAAGUUUUUGAAGUAAAGGACCUGAGAGUGGGAUCCACAGCACCACGACGCUACCUACUUUGUUUCACCUGGUGUGAUUUUUCUUUCUCUACUUCAGCCACAACUCUACUAUUAGGAUUUGAACGUGCCCCUAUUUAUUCCUUAUAUAUAGUUAGCUUUUCAUUAUGAUUUAGAAGAAGUUAGAAACAUUGUAAACACAAAUCUUUGUAUUAUUUUUUCAUAUUAUAAUAAAAUUUCCAUUCUCUACAAAUUAUUUUGGUCUUGUGAUUAAUUACUUCAUAUUGUGGCUACAAUCUCCUAUUUUCCCCGAUAGUUUGGUAUUGGAUUAAUCCGGUAUCAUCUUCGUUUGAUAACAAUAAGUCUAUCUCCAUGAGUGUCGAUGAUGGUUUAUCUCCAAAGUGUCUUGACUAGCUACUUAAGAUAUUCUUGAAAAUUAAGGAUAUGGGACACGUGGCGUAUUUACAUGUUGAUUUAUAUGAACACACGAGGAUAUAAAACUUGUAUAUGAAGUUUUUCGCUUAGCCAUAUAGGGUUGUUGGUUCAAAGCUUGUCUACCAUAUCGCUUUGGUUAAUAUUUGGUCUAUGCAUAGAGUUUGUGAUGUCUAUAUGAUAGAUUGUAAAACUAUCACUCAUUUUGGAAAUUGUAGAGAAUUGUUGAAAUAAUUUUCAAAAAAACGCCGUUUAGACAUUGGUAGUUUAAAUCAAGGAAAUACUUCAAGAAGCGUUGGAUCAAGAUAGGACAAGAACAAGAGAUGACAAAACGGACCAAAACUUGCACUAGUUUGCAACAUAAAUUAGCACAGGUACGCCCAAGGCUAGUGCACCUGCGCUAGUUGAGUAAUUGAAGCGUAGGUACUCUGCCUUGUUGAUGCAGGUGAACUGUUGGCUAGUGCACCCGUGCUGCCAAGCGACAACAAUGGUGUCUUUUCGUCCCUAACUGAUGUUUGAUGGUUAGAAUUCAAUUUUUUUCAGUUUGUAUUGAUGUAGUUCAAACUCUAAUAAUUAUCUUGAAGUGUUGUAACUCUUGGGAAGAUGUGUAAUAUAAUUUUAAUUCGUUUUUACUCUACCAUUUUCUACACUUUCUUGCAUCCAAAAUACCAACUUUAGUGCAUUCAUAUCUUCUUGAAUAUUGUUUGUAUUUAUCAUACUGCAGAUAUAAAGUGGAAAUUUUGAGUAGAUUUUCCACUGUUCGGGUUGUCUUCGUAAGAAAUCCCAAACAACACUAAAGGGCUUCAUUAUAUCCUAUAGACGUAUUUGCAUUCCGUGUGCAUCACAGAAUGGUGGAAACAAAUAACAUCUUAAGGAAAGAGAUAUUUGUUAUAUGCCUUGAAGCCGGUAUUGUUUUAAGUUCGAGUUUUUGCGAUAUUCCAACAUCUAGUUUCGUCUAAUCGUCAUCUCUAAACUGAUCUCACCAACACCUUUGAACCUCGUUUUCGUAAUCUACCUAUAUAAAUUCAACUAAUUCAAUCCGUCAAUUUGUUAAAAUCUGGAUGAUCGAAAACGUCUUACAGA